rnacentral:lncRNA from 1 species
AGUGUUGCCCAUUUUUUGAUUGAAUCAUUGAAUAGUAUAGCACCAAGUUUUGUACCCUAAAGAAUAGUGGACAUGUUAAUUUUAAUGGAUGAAAUAUAAAUUGAAAAACGAAAAUUUAAAGACGAAGUAAAAAAAAAUUUCUAAUCUCUUCGUCAACUAACUUUAGAAGCUUUCGAGUACCUAUUGUUGUUUAAUUAAAUUCUUUUGUUGGACCACACCCUAUGACCAAGACUUUUAUUAUAGACAUGUGAUCGGAUGACUUCAAAGCACUAGUGGCAACAACUUCAGUAAUUGAGUCCAUUAUAAUAGCAGCCUAAGAAAAGGAGUUAGAAUAGCAUUAAUACAUGAUUUAGAGUGAAGUAAGAUUGAGGAGUUGAGUACAUAAGUGUACUUGAAUACGUGAGUCAUUUUUGUAUAUUUAAUCGAGGAAGAACGUGUGUAUUUAAUCGCAGAAGAACGCAGUUACUUAUAGUUUCAAUAAAGAACACAAAUUAAAUCAAUUAAGAACAUAAAUUCAAGUAUGUAUUAAGAAUAUAAGCUAAAUUGCUGGCAUAACAAUUAAUAGUGUGUUUUUAUUAUGAAUGAGCAAGAAACAAUCAAUAAUCAAUAAUACGAAGAAAAAAAACAGUAGAAUAUUAUGACAUAAGCAAAAGGGAGUGGCGAAGAAAACCUGGAGAAGAAUGAAAAGUGAGAAAUUGUCAAUGAACAGAAAGUAUGGUGAGCAUGAUUAAAAAAAUGAAAUCGUGGCUUUUAUAGAAGCCGAUCAAAGGUAUGUUGAAGCCUAUUUUACAUGGGUUAGAAAUUGUUUUAUGGAAUAUUUCCAAUUCUAUUUUGUAUGGAAAAGGUUACCCAAAACCCAUAUAUUUUUGGAUAGUUUUAUUAAUUGUUUUGACGUGAUAUUUUUGGAACUUUUUUUGGACAGAACACGGUUAUUUUUUUGGUUUGGGGUAUUCUUUUUUAAGUAGGAAUGAUAAUUUUUGUAGAUGGUGGAAAGGAUUUCUAUUUUUUAAGAAAAAGUUAUUUGAUUUUUAUAAUUUAAUAUUACUAAAAUAAGUAUAAAAAAAAUGUGAAAACACGGUUACUUUUUUUUGGUUUGAGGUCUCCUUUUUUAAGUAGGAAUGAUGAGUUUUUGUAGAUGGUGGAAAGGAUUUUUAUUUUUUUUGAGAAAAGGUUAUUUGAAUUUUUUAAUUUAAUAUUAUUAAAAUAAUUAGAAAAAGAAUGUGAAAAGACGAUUUUGUCUGAAGAAAAGAAUUUUAAUGAAGGAUAAAAAGUUGAAAUACUAUUUCUAAGAUAUUAUAGAUAUAGAUAUAGAUGUAUCAGAAUAUAUGAGAAUAUUAAAUCAUUUUUUGUUACGUAAAAAUCAGUAAACUUUAUGCAAGUAUUCAAGAAAAGCUUAAACCAGAGUCCUUUGAUUACUUCUUUGAAAUAUUGCAAUUAAGUAAUCAAUCAACUUUAUGCAAGUAUUAUAUAAGUUGUAUGCUGGGGUAGGUGAGGGUAGGUGGGGUGGGGUAGGCAUGAAAAUAGUCCUUCUUGGUAAUCGUGUCAGAACUCAAGAUUUACAUUGCCUCCGGUCGUAUUUCUUGAGUAUAAUAUUAUUUCUCCCAUCCCAACACUAUCAUAAGAAAUCUCAGAAUUGAGGAGAAAGAUGGCAUGCAUGAAUAAAGGAUGGGAGAUUCUAAUUGGAAAAAUCAAGAGCUUCCUCAAAAGGAAAAAAGGAAUCGAAAACAGAGACAACAGCAUAGCAGAAAGAUGGGAGAUUUUGAGUGGUAAGACUAACUGGGAAGACUUACUUGACCCUUUGGAUUACGAUCUUCGACUAUACCUCAUUCACUAUGGCCAAAUGUGUCAAGCCAUCUACGACUCAUUCAACAAUGAGGAAGCUUCUAAAUACAGAGGAACAAGUCGAUACUCCAAAAAGAACCUCUUCACAAGAGUGGGGCUCGACAAACACAACCCCUACAAAUAUGAAAUCACUAAAUAUGUAUAUGCAGCUUCACAUGUACCAAGUGAAACUGAGAAGGUGAAACAAUCAAACUGGAUUGGAUAUGUUGCUGUUGCCGCUGAUGAGGGUAAAAUUGCAUUAGGCAGGAGAGAUAUUUUAAUUGCUUGGAGAGGGACCGUGAUGGUCUCAGAAUGGAAUGAUGAUUUUGAAAAUUCAUUGGUCCAACCAACAGAAAUCUUUGGAGAAAAUACGAAUAACAUUCUAGUACACAAAGGUUUUUAUUCAAUUUAUACUUCUCUUAACGAGGCUUCGGAUUUCAAUCGAACAACCAGUGCUAGAGAUCAGGUAGUACACCAUUUUUCUUUCUAUAUUUUAAAGCAAUUUUCUAGGGGUUUACUCAUUAAAAUUCUCUUUUGUAUUUGUACAUUAAAACAGGUCCUUGAAGAAGUUAAAAGGUUGUUGGAUCAAUACAAGGAGGAGGAAGUGAGCAUCACUGUUACGGGCCAUAGUUUGGGUUCAUCAUUAUCCACACUAUGCGCGAUUGACAUAGUUGUGAACCAGAUCAAUAAGGAGUUUCCAGUGACUGCAUUUGUGUUUGCUUGCCCACGAGUCGGAGAAAAGAAUUUCAAGAAAGCUUAUGGCAAACUGAAAACCCUUCAAAUCUUACGCAUUAGCAAUGCGUCUGAUCCUGUUCCGAAAUUACCAGAGCGUGGAGUCGUAGACGGUUCUGAAAAUGACUGGAGAGUGUAUGAAGAUGUUGGAUUUGAACUGUUAAUGGAGACAACAAAGUCAAAGUACUUGAAGAAAUGCAUAAAUAGUCAUAUUCUGGAGGUUUAUUUGCACGGAAUUGCUGGAACACAUGGACCAGAAGGAGAGUUCAAGUUGGCAAUAGUUCGGGAUAUUGCUCUUAUGAAUAAGGCAGCCGAUGUGUUGAAGGAUGAAUAUGGUGUGCCGGUGUCAUGGUGGAUCGAGAAGAAUAAAGGAAUGGUUCAACAAGAAGACGGGUCUUGGAUUCUCAUGGAUCAUGAGGAUGGCGACACUUAUUUCUUACCAUAGAUUGUGAUUUGUUAUCUAAUCUCUGGGUUUUAUUGUAAAACUUCAUGUAUUCAUCAAGUGCCAGUAAUAAGCGAGUACGAUAGUCUUUUACUACACGGGUUUUAUCAUAUUUGUUCAGAUUAAAAGGGAUUGAGUGCUUAAAUGAAUCAUAGCAAAUCUGUUUUAUUUAAUUUGAUGUUCAUACCAGAGCAGUGGGUCACGCAAGCCUUUUAUCUCUUUUCAUCUAUUUUCAGUAAAGUGGAUGCUUUGAAUUCAUUCAGAUGUACUUGUCCUUCUUCCUUCAGUGCUGACUUAAAUGGAUUUGUGUGCAUUAAUUAGGAUCAUCUUUUAAAAUUUUGUACUACUAUAAGAUGGUGACAGGAACUUGCUUGAAAAUAUAUAAUGCAUUAGAAAAUUAGUAGUAAUUCAGAUGGCUAGCCAGUUUGUUAGCAACCAAAAUAUUUUCUGUGUGGGGACUGACACCAAAGCCAUUGCCCAAUCGAAUGGGUUGAUUUGGGUAUUUCAACUUCAGAGUUUAAUUGGUAAUUCACCGUUCUGAUCAUUUCAGCUCAAGUUGGAAUGGUCAUACAUAUCAUUGGCAUGACACAAUUUAUUUUCUACGCUCUUGAUAUUAUUUGGCCGCUAGUUUCUCGAGAAUCAAUGUAAGACUUAAAAUUACUAGACUAUCACAUACUUGCUAAAAUUCAAAGGCGUUAUUAGUGUUUGGGCAAUUGGAAGAGAAUCGAUGUCAUGGGGAAACCAGAGGAGUGGUGGUCACUCUAUGCUCUAGUUAGUUAUUGCUAGUGUUUUCUCUAUUCUCUAUAAUUUCAAGAUAAGUGUACUGGCUUACUCUUUUUUUGGGUGUUUUAUACAUCUCUUUUAUGUUUUUGUUUGCACUGUUUCUUAUUUUAACAUUUUUCACAUAUAACAAAGUUGAUUUUGAACACUCACCUAAUAGAAAUUAGGCAUAAUACAUAACCACGUCCUUUAACUUGACAUCAGUUCACAUCUAUGACCUUCAAUUUUCGAUGUGCAUUAGUAUACACUUAAACCUGUAUAAAGUUGAACGAGUAGACACGUCCGUCAUAUGCGGUAUAAUACACGUAGGAUGCAAUGUGAGACAUGAAUUGGCCACGUAGAAUGUCACAUAGGACGCAUGUGUCUUUUUGUUCAACUUUAUACAAGUUUAAGUGUCUACUUAUAUACAUUCAAAAUAGGAAGACAUAGAUGAAAGUUGAAGCCAAAUUAAAGGACAGAUUCAUUCUAAAGAAUUGGCGAUGCCAAAACUCCUAAAUCCUCAGAUAAUGGCUAUAUUCUCAUGCAUUUCAAAUAGACCACCUAUUUUUCUUUUUCACUGAAAUGGUUUAAUAUGUCCUGAUGUAUGUACCAUGCGCAAAGUAAAUUCUAAUAACCAGUGAUUUCUCAAGCAUGUUGCAAGCUUAUUAUCUGUUUAUUUGACAGUCUUCUAUGAUUUUUCUAGCAACUAAAUUACUGGUUGAAGAAUAUUUUAUUGUUCUUCCAAACAGUAGAAAAAGAAUCUAUUUUUCUUCUUUUUACUAGAUAUUGUGCAACUUUGAGAAGUCCAUUUUCUACGAUGUAGUUUGAUUCUCUUUCAGUUUCGUUGUUGGAAUAACUGCCAUAACUAUUUAUUCUAGAGGCUAUGUGAUGCGGUAACUCCUAAAAUAUGCACGUAAGGUUUUAACCAUCUAAAGGUUAAUAGCAUCAACUGUAAGGAAUUUGUACAUGCUUAUGUAGUUUAACAAUAGCAUAUAUUUGGAAACUCUUACCUCUUUUGACCUCUAGAUAUACCAUUGACACCCUGCACAGUUGUACUUCAUCUUAAAUGAGCAUGUAUAAGAGUCGCAUGUAAAAAAUUUAUAGGUAUUUGAGUGUUCGAAAAUGGUGUGGCUCUGUAGGCUCUAACCAUUGCAAAAUAGUACCUGUUUAUUAGCCUGUUGCCUUAACACCAUUUGCUUGUGAGAGUAAGGUUUCCCUUUUUGCUCGUCUGUUGGAUGCUUUUGUUUACAGUGUGCAGAACAUGAGGUAGAUAUCUGCGUCUGUGUUAUACUCCCCCCUUUAAAUGGAUGAUGAGGUUGAAAAAAAUUCAAUGUCGUGAGUGUUGUCACCACUAGGAAAAUGUGUUGCAAGAACAUAUGUAUGAACUGUCACCAUUGUAAGACUCUGCAAAAAGUCAAAAGGAUCUAUUUGGUAAUUCAACAUGGGUUCUACUGAUGAAUGAUGACCGUAUGAAACCCAUUUCUGGCUUGUGUAGCUUUGCUGGAUGUAAUUUCUUCAGACACAUGGAUUACUAGUAUUUGAACUUGUAAUCAAUCUGGAAACACCUUAUUCUUUCUAUUGGAAAUAUUAACAUCAGUUAAUUUUCCUAAGGGUAGUUUAGUCAUUUUACUCUCUUAGUUUGUUGAGUCGGUUAUUGUAGUCUAUAAAUAGACAGCUGUACUGUAGCAUUAGUGAGUAAGAAAGAUCAGUUUUCUUCUCCUCUCAUUCGUUCCUUGUUGGCUUCAAUGGUGAAGUAGAAGUUGUGAUUGUUUCUGUAAUUUCUAGUAGAUUUCAUUUGUUCGUUGAUAAGUUAACAUGGUAUCAAAGCCAGACCCAUCUCACCCAAUGUUGGGCCUCCGGAUUGAGAUUCGGGAGAGAUUUUCCACGCCCACUAUUGGGCCUCCAGAUUGAGAUUCGGGAGAGAUUUUCCACGCCCAGAGGGGGAUGUUAGAAGAAAGAGAAGAAGAAAGUCCCACAUUGGUGGUUAAUGAGAUGGUUGGUCUCCUUAUAAGGCUUGGGCAAUCCUCCUCAUAAGCUAGCUUUUGGAGUGUGAGUUAGGCCUGUGAGGUUGUGAGAUAAAUAAAUGAGAUGUUUUUCUCUACUCCAGGUUCUUUCUGACCUGUGCAGUGAUGACAUGGAUGUUGGCAUAAAGAAACUUGGUGUCAUUGAUAGUUAUCCUUUUCGCACUGCAUGCAAACAGAAAUUCUCGCGUCAAGUUGCCGAGGAAAAAGCGAUAGAAUGGUGUUCUAUUUGGCAGACAGCUGUGGAAGACCCCAACUGGAAUCCAUUCAGAACUAUAUCACCUCAAAUGGGGAAGUUGUAUGUAUCUGGAUCGUUUCUUCUUUCUAUGUUGCUCGGACACUUCAAAAAUAUAGUUGCGCACAUAAGUUCUUGAAUUCAUGUAGUUAAAUGAUGCAAUAAAAGCACUCCUACCAUAAUAAAUGAGUAAAACGGUACAACAAAAUGAUUAUGUAAACUGAUUUCCUAUUUUCUAUGAUCUGAUAAAAUAAAUAAAGUUAUUGGUACAAUUUGUACUCUCUGAAUUUCUGUCCUUCCAUCGAAUUCCACCUGAACUGUUUAUCAGGUGUCCCCUACAGGACAUUUUCAACUGAAUUCUUUGUACUUUAAAUUACAUGAUCAAUGCAAGCCUUCUUAAAACCUAAGUUGCGCGGACUAUUCACUUUCGAUGCCACACCCAUGCUGGAUUCUCCAAAAAUUACACUAGUUUUGGCGAAUCCGACAUGCACCCGUUAGACAUUUUUGAAGAGUCCGAGCAACUUUGCUUAAAACCAUUGUUUGUGCUUCACGAAAUGGUAGACAGAGAGGACAAGGAACUCCAGCAGCUGAGGAAAGACUGGGGAUAUGAAGCAUAUUCAGCUGUUGUUAUAGCCUUGACAGAAAUCAAAGAGUAUAAUACAAAGGGUAGAACCAUGACUCAUCAUCUCUGGAAUUAUGAAUGAGAACCUAAACCACUUCUUUUUAGAUGAUUGCUAUUCACUCAGCUCAAAAUCUACUCCGAUUAUACAGUUCCAAUCUAUCUAAGAGCAGAAUUCUAGGACAACACAAUCAACACUUUAGAUUGAAUUGGAGGAAAAAAAUGAGUUUGAGAUUCUAACUCUAAGGAAUGUACCAUAUUUUAUUUGUUUGAUUGCCCAUUUUAUAUAUGAAUUUUUACUGGCCGUAUUAUUUUAUUGGAUCAGUGGGAUGACGCUGACAUGAGUUUAGCUCAAAUGGAGAAGCAUGGUCAAUGAGGAUUCAUAUAGCCGACCCCAACUUGUUUGGGAUUGAGUCAUAGUUGUUGACUUGUUGUAAUAGGAUAAUAAAGGGAAAGGGAGUUCUCUGUAUGAAAUAGAACAGUUGUGCCAUGUUUGAUUUUUUCUUAAUUAAUUACCAUUGGAGGUUAGGUUUUGAGUCUCUACAGAGACAAAAUGUUUGGAUUUAUUCUCAUCUGCGUAAGCUUUGGUGGUCAAAGUAACCCGGGCUUAUACCAGUGGAAGAAUGGAGGUACCUGUGAAAAGUCGAGGUGCACAUGAGUGACCUGAACAGCGAACUAUCACACUUACCAUGUUUUUGGUUCAAAAAGCUCAUACAACUUCUUUCCCUCCGUGUAGGAAGACCACUGGCCUCCAAUUAUGUUAUGUAGAUUUUAGCUGCUUUGAAAGAAAAUAGUAUGGCUGUGGUAUAUUGUAACGCCCCACAUCGUCCAUGCGUUAGCUCGUGGUAAUAUGCUCUUAGAGUUAAAUGACUAGAAUAGUGUCAAAGAGACUUAGUCUCAUUUUUUUGACUUCCAAAGUAAGUAAAGUUUAAACCAUAUAUAAUUUCCCUAAUUUCAACUUUUUAUCAUGUGGAAAAUUGAAUGAGCUUUCCGUCGAUAUAAGAUUCGCCCAAAUCCGAUAUCCGGGCAAAAAGUUAUGGCUAGUUUAAGUCGUAGUCGUAAAACACCAUCAUUUUGGUACUUGGCGCGUCGCGGAGGGGGUCUACUUAGCAAUUGUCAAAUUCCAGUAGCCUAGCGCAAUUGUGGCGCGGCGCUGAAGUUUUAGGUUCCAACCAGUGGGACAACGCUAUGGCUCCGCGUCGCGGUGACCUUAAGAUUCCCAUUCAUCAAAUUUCAGUGAGCCACCGCGAUUGUGGCGCAUCGCGGUGGCCCAUAAAACUGGGCUCCCAGUUAUAUUUUAUUUCGUCUCAUUAAGGGCAUAUUAGGUAUUUUUUCACCCCCUUAUCAACUUAAACAUGGGAUUACACUCCCAAGUGACCACAUUAUUCAUAUUUUCAUCAAAAAUUCACAAGAACAGUCUCUAGGGUUUCAAACUAAAAACCCAAAUAACUCAAGAUUUAACCGUGGCUUUUCAAGAUUGAUUGAAGAUUCGGAAUUCCCAAACUGUAGGCUUCAAGAAUCAUCCAUUAUUUUCUGUAUUGAGGUACGUGGGGUUUUCCUAAAAAUCUCACAGGCAUAGAAAUCAUGUUUUUUAAGAAAAGGGUUUUAGAUUUAUAAUUUAUAAUCAUGUUUUAGAAGUCUCAAUGAUAUUGUUUUGGUCUUUAGGCCUUUCCCCAAAUUGAUUUAAAAUUCUAUAUAUAUGUAUGCAUGUGUUUAAGGAUGAAUAUUCAAUUGAGAGCAUGAGUUAUAAUGAAUUCCUCUCUUGAUAUGAUUUUUCCCAUUAUUCGUAUGAUAUGGAUUGUUUUGAAAAACAUGUUAUGAAAGGUCUUGAAUUAUACUAUGAUUUGAACAUGAUUGUGAAAUCAAAAGGGUUGUGCAUGUUGAUAAAUGUUGAAUAUACAUAUAAUGAAAGAGUGCAUGGUUUUGCCAAAGGUACAUGACCACCAUAUGUUUGAAGAAUUCUUGCAUAGUUUUGACUUAUGUUUCGAAACAUGAAAUCUCUUAUACUAUUUGCAUGUUUGGGUGGUCUGAAUUGAGUUCUGAUGAAAGAAUCAUGCAUGAUGCAUUAUGGUUCAGAAAAAGGACUUGCAAGUUUUGGAGUGACGACACCAAUUCAGAUAAUGCCAUGUUAAUUUAAAACAGAAUAGAAUGCAUGUUUGAAAUUAGAUUUUUAGAUUUUGAAACUAGAAUGAUGCAUGUUUCAGAACAGACUAAAAUUGGGCAUGAAGAGAGCUUAGGUGAUUCCCCAAAGAAGGCACGAGUUCAGACAACUCAUUGCCCCAAACCAUGAUUUGCCGAUCCGAGUAUAUUAUUAUACGCUGGCCUACUGCCCUAUGGCGUAUCAGACUCAGACACUCCAAUCCUUGCGGCACACUUGGGUUGGGGGCUUUUCCACCGAGUCAAUAGCAGAUUCCAUAUAACCCGUGGAAUAUCAGACUUGUAGGGGAGUGCCGCCUAACUCAGAAGUAAUACAAAGAUUAGAGGCUGUAUUGACAGAAAAGUUUUAUGAUUAUCAAAGAUGCCUAUGUGUUUUGGAAUUUAUAUCGUAUGUGAUGUUUUAUGACUAGCUCUCAACUAUUUUAUUUAUAUUAAAAGUUUUAUUUUGGAUUGCUCUGCGUACCAGUAUAUCUGUAUGUAUUGACCCCCUACCUCCCAGGUUUGGAGGCUCAGUCCAAGGGUCUGGCUAAUUAGUAGAGUAUUCCAGAGAGAAGUGAUCCAUUCAGUGGUAAGCCUUCUUUGUUCCAGAAGGCCUAUUAUUUCAGAUUAUGUUAUUCCGUUGUUUUGGUCUACUGUGGGCCUUGUCCUAGUUUUCAGAAUAGUUUUGAGAUGUAAUAGAGAUUUGGUAGACUGAGUCAGAUCUUAUUUAGAUGUUUUGAAUUGUAACUUUCAUUCCUAUGUCUUAAAACUCAGAGUCAAUGACCAUGUUUCCGUAUCAGAUUAUAUUUCCAUAUAUUCUCUUAUUAUAUGAAUAUUGUGCAUGACUGCCAGAUAGAGUAGGACAUUCGGGCCUUCAUAGUUGGGGAUGUCCGUCAUAGCCAGGCCCUAGUCCGGGUCGUGGCAAACUUGGUAUCAGAGCACGGUUCAUGGUCUCAGGGUGUCUACGAAAUCGCGUCGGGUAGAAUCUUAUUUAUGGGUAUGUAAUGCGCCACACUUAUAAGCAGGAGGCUAUAAGACAUUUAGGUAUGUCUCUCUUCUUUAUGGUUUAGUUCAUGCUUUAGAGUCUUAAUUGUCCCCUAAUUAAUGGUCUCUUGUGUUUCAGAGAAACAAUCAUGCCUCCCCGUCGUACUAUCGAUCAGAAUGCAUAGAUAGAUGAGGUCCAUCCCACUCAUAGGAUAAGGACUCAAAAUAAAGCUCAGACUCUGGAGAUUGAUGCUACUCUGGGAGUCCUACCUACUCGGACUAGCCCACCCAGGGCACCCAGAGCUCCCCGGAUGGGGACUAAUCACACUCAGCCUUGAGAGAGAGAGGUAUCUAAUGCAGAAUUCAGACAGUCUAUUCAUAUGCUUACAUAGUUGGUAGCCACACCGAAUCAACGGUCGAAAGAUGUUGGGUCUGCAUCGGUCACAUCUGAGGCUACUAGGGUGGGUCAGUUAAUGAAAAUGAACCCACCCAAGUUUUCAGGUACCAAAAUAGAGGAGGAUCCACAGGAGUUUAUGGAUGAGGUAGAGAAGAUCUUCAAGGUGAUACAUGUAGACGAGGUGGAAGGGGUGGAAUUAGUAGCUUACCAGCUUAAAAAAGUUGCGAACCAGUGGUAUAAUGAGUGGGAGGAUUCUAAGGGUAAGAGUGCUGAGUCCAUGGUAUGGGGCGAGUUCAUGGAAGCCUUCCUUGAUCGGUUCUUUCCCCUUGAGUUGAGAGAGGCCAAAGCUGAGGAGUUUAUGAACCUUAAGCAAGGAAAAAUGAGUGUCAAGGAGUACACUCUGAAGUUCAACCAACUGGCUCGUUUUGCUUCGGAGAUGGCUGGUAAUAAAAGAGUCUGAAUGAGGAAAUUUACAUCCGGCCUAUCGGAUGACUUAGUGCUUGAAUGUAAGGGGGCUAUACUGAACAGGGACAUACACUUUUCUAGGCUGUUAGUGCAUAUGCAGCAGGUAGAGGAGCAGAAAAAAAAGAAUCGCUGAAUCUAGGGAGAAGGACAGAUAGGCAAAGAGAGCCAGAACAGCGGAUCAGAACCACAGUCAACCACAGAGUGGUAAUUAGGGAAAUAAAUGGCAGUAGAACAAGAAUUGGGGUAAUGCUCAGUCCGCAGCUAGCGUCCAUACCUCUAGUAGAUCGACGACCUCAGAGUUUCCAAACUAAUCAUAGAUCCAGAGCUCAGGAUACCCAGUCAAAGGGCAGCGUAGCUUAGCAACAUCGUACGUUUCCGAGGUGUGAGACCUGUAGUAGGCAUCAUCCAGGGAGGUGUCAGCUGGGUUCGCUGGUACACUAUUCAUGUGGUCAGUCGGGUCACUUUCAGAGAGAUUAUCCUUUGGCUAGAAGGAGUGUUUGUGGUGCUAAAUAUCAGGCAAAUUCUUUCGCACCACCAUUUCCCAAAAAGGGCGCCACCUCAGCUGCUGGGAGUGGUCGCAACUAGCUGUAUGCGUUGUCCAACCACCAGGAGGCGGAAGCCUCUCCAGACGUAGUCACCGGUAUGUUACAAAUCUUUUCUCGUGAUGCUUAUGUAUUACUUGAUCCCGGGUCUAUCCUAUCUAUAUGACCCCUUAUAUGGCUAUCAGUUUUAGGUUUGAGCCCGAUGAAAUUUCAGAACUUUUCUAUAUUUCCACUCCGGUGGGUGAUUCUAUUGUAGCUAGGAGAGUGUAUAAAAAUUAUGUGGUGACUGUUUGUGGCCAGGAUACCGUGGCAGAUCUCAUAGACCUAGAUAUGAUUGAUUUUGAUGCUAUUCUAGGGAUAGACAGACUUCAUUCGUGCUAUGCCACAUUAAAUUGUAGAACCCGAAGAGUCACUUUUUUUUCCGAAUGAACCAGUGAUAGAAUGGGAGGGGCAUUCUUUAGCGCCUAGAGGGAAUUUUUUAUCUUAUCUCAGAGCCUAUAAACUUAUCUUCAAAGGUUAUUUAUAUCAUCUUAUUUGGGUUAAAGAUUCUAAUGCCGAAAGUCUUCCUCUCCAGUCAGUCCCUGUGGUAAAUGAGUUUCCAGAAGGCUUUCCAAAAGAUCUCCCAGGAAUACCACCUGAUAGGGAGAUAGAUUUUGGUAUUGAUUUAUUGCCGGACACCCAUCCCAUUUCUAUUCCGCCAUAUAGAAUGGCUCCUGCAGAACUGAAAGAGUUAAAAGAACAGCUAGCAGACCUUUGAGACAAAGGUUUUAUACGUCCCAGUGUUUCUCCCUAGGGUGCACCUGUACUCUUCAUGCGAAAGAAAGAUGGUUCUCUACGUAUGUGCAUAGAUUGCCGCUAGCUAAAUAAGGUCACUGCUAAAAAUAAAUAUCCUCUUCCUAGGAUUGAUGAUCUCUUUGACCAACUUCAGGGUGCUAAAUAUUUUUCAAAGAUAGACCUUCAUUCGGGAUACCAUCAGUUGAAAUUUAGAGAGUCAGAUAUUCCCAAAAUAGCUUUUCAAACCAGAUACGGUCAUUACAAAUUUCUAGUCAUGUCCUUUGGGUUGACUAAUGCCCCUACAGUCUUCAUGGAUCUUAUGAACAGGGUGUUCCAUCAGUUUCUAGAUCUGUUUGUUAUAGUUUUCAUAGAUGAUAUUCUGAUUUAUUCCAAGAGUGAGAAGGACCAUGCCAAUCACCUCCGAAUCAUCCUUUCGACUCUCAAAGAUCAUAAAUUAUAUGCAAAAUUUUCCAAGUGCGAAUUCUGGCUUAAUACUAUUGCUUUCUUGGGGCAUAUCGUAUCUAGUAACGGGAUUAAGUUUGAUCCCUAAGAGAUUGAGGCAGUGAGAAAAUGGCCCAGACCCAUGACUCCAAUCGAUAUUCGAAGCUUCUUGGGUUUGGCAGGGUAUUAAAGAAGAUUUGUAGAGAGUUUUUCUUCCAUAUCUACACCACUUACUAAGUUGACUCAGAAAAAGGUGAAGUCCAUGUGGUCUGACUCCUGUGAGAAUAGCUUUGAGAAGUUAAAAGAUAAGUUGACAAUUGCUCCUAUUUUGACUCUUUCGAAAGGUACAGAGGGGUUUGUUAUGUACUGUGAUGCAUCCCGUGUGGGACUUGGGUGUAUACUUAUGCACCACGGUAAGGUGGUGGCCUAUGCAUCUAGGCAGUUGAAGGUGCAUGAGCGAAAUUACCACACCCAUUACUUGGAGUUAGUGGCUGUGGUGUUUGCGCUUAAAAAUCUGGCAACAUUAUCUCUUUGGGGUACAUGUUGAUAUAUUUACUGACCACAAGAGUUUACAGUAUAUUUUCUCGCAGAAAGAAUUAAACCUCAAACAAAGACGAUGGUUGGAGCUUUUAAAGAAUUAUGACAUGAGCUUGCACUACCAUCCGGGCAAGGCAAAUGGGGUAGUCGAAGCCCUCAUCAGGUUGUCUAUGGGCAGUCUUUCUCGUGUUGAAGAAGGAAAGAAAGAGGUGGUGAAAGCUAUUCACCGCCUUGAAGAGUACGGCUCUUGAAUUCCGAAGAUGGGGGAGUGGUUGUUCAUGAGGUAGAUAAAUUUUUGCUUUGUGCAGAAGUUAAAGAGAAGCAGGUUGAAGAUCCUAUCUUAAUGUAGAUCAAGAAAGAUGUGGGUCAGCAAAAGGUGAUGUUUUUUGAAAUAGGUGGUGAUGGUAUUUUAAGAUAUCAGGCUCGACUAUGUGUUCCAGAUGUAGAUGGGUUACGAAAAAGAAUCCUUGACGAAGCUCAUGCCUCGAGGUAUGUUUUUGAUCCAGGCUCUACUAAGAUGUACCAUGAUCUAAAGACCUUAAAUUGGUGGAAUAAUAUAAAGCGUGAUGUGGUUAAUUAUGUUUCCAAGUGUUUGAACUGCCAACAAGUUAAAGUAGAACAUAUGAGGCCAAGUGGUACGUCCCAAGAGAUAACUUUUCCUUUGUAAAAGUGGGAGACGAUCAAUAUGGACUUUAUUACGGGACUUUUGAGGUCCCAAAACUAGUAUGAUUCUAUUUGGGUGAUUGUUGACAGGCUGACCAAGUUAGCACAUUUUCUGCCUGUGAGGACCAACUAUUCGGGAGAUGAUUAUGCCAAGCUUUACAUUAAGGAAAUAGUUCGCUUGCAUGGAGCACAUGUAUCCAUCAUAUCUUACCGAGGUACGUAAUUCUCUUCUCAGUUUUGGAGAUCUUUGCAGAGGGGCUUAAGUACCUAGGUGAAUCUGAGUAUUGCAUUCCACCCUCAGACUGAUGGGCAAACUGAGCGCACCAUUCAGACCCUUGAGGAUAUGUUGAGGGCUAGCGUGAUUGACUUCAAAGGUAGUUGGGUAGAUCACUUACCAUUGAUAGAGUUCAUAUAUAAUAACAAUUAUCAUGCCAGUAUUAAGAUGGCUCCUUUUGAGGCACUGUAUGCGAGAAGAUGUAAGUCGCCAAUAGGGUGGUAUGAAGUGGGUGAGACACAGUUGUUUGGGCCUGAUCUUGUUCAUCAGGCAAUGGAGGACGUAAAGAUUAUUAGAGAACGACCUAAGACUGCCCAGAGUAGACAAAAAUCCUAUGCCGAUGUCAGAAGAAGGGAGCUAAAAUUUGAAGUUAGUGAUUGGGUAUUUAUAAAAAUCUCCCCUAUGAAGGGAGUUAUGCGAUUCGGGAAGAAAGGUAACCUGAGUCCUCGCUAUAUAGGACCAUACCAGAUUUUGAGAAGGAUAGGUGUAGUUGCGUAUGAGUCAGAGUUGUCUGCAGAUCUGGGUUCUGUUCAUCUCGUAUUUUACAUAUCCAUGCUGAAGAAAUAUAUUAGAGACCAUUCCUGGUGUUGCCUGUAGAAGAGAUCAAGGUGACAGACUCAUUAGCAUAUGAAGAGAAAACUAUUGCAAUCUUAGAUCGCCAAGUUCAGCAGUUGAGAAGUAAAGAGAUAGUGUCAGUUAAGGUGUUGUGGAGAAAUCAGAAAGUUGAAGAAGCAACUUGGGAAUCAGAAGAUGACAUGAGAGCAAGAUACCCAAACCUGUUUGAUCCGGUGAAUGACGAAACGGAAGGUACAAUCAUUGCUUUAUUCUUUUACGGUCUUAGUAUACCUUAAAUCGUGCUUGUCUGUGUUCCGCGUCAUCAUUCGGGGAUUAAUGAUCCCAAGGGGGGAUAAUGUAAUGCCCCAAAUUAUCCAUGCGUUAGCUUGUGGUAAUAUGCUCUUAGAGUUAAAUGACUAGAAUAGUGUCAAAGAGACCUGGUCUCAUUUUUUUGACUUUCAAAGUAAGUAAAGUUUAAACCAUCUAUAAUUUCCCUAAUUUCGACUUUUUAUCAUGUGAAAAAUUGAAUGAACUUUCCGUCGAUAUAAUAUUCGCCCAAAUUCGAUACCCGAGCAAGAAGUUAUGGCUAGUUUAAGUCCUAGUCGUAAAACACCGUUAUUUUGGUGCUUGGCCCAUCGCGGAGGUGGUCUACUUAGAAAUUCUCAAAUUCCAAUAGCCUAGCACGAUUGUGGCACGUCGCGCUGAAGUUUCAGGUUCCAACUAGUUGGACAACGCGUUGGCUCCGUAUUGCGGUGACCUUAAGAAUCCCAUUCAUCUAAUUCCAGUGAGCCACCGCGAUUGUGGCAUGUCACGGUGGCCCAUAAAACUGAGCUCCCAGUUAUAUUUUGUUCCAUCUUAUUAAGGUAAUAUUAGGUAUUUUUUCACCCCCCUUAUCAGCUUAAACACGGGAUUACACUCCCAAGUGACCACAUUAUUCAUAUUUUCAUCAAAAAUUCACAAGAACACUCUCUAGGAUUUCAAACUAAAAAUCCAAAUAACUCAAGAUUUAACCAUGGCUUUUCAAGAUUGAUUGAAGAUUCGGAAUUCCCAAACCGUAGGCUUCAAGAAUCAUCCAUUAUUUUCUGUAUUGAGGUACGUGGGGGUUUCCUAAAAAUCUCAUGGGCAUAGAAAUCAUGAUUUUUAAGAAAAGAGUUUUAGAUUUAUGAUUUAUAAUCAUGCUUUAGAAGUCUCAAUGACAUUGUUUUGGUCUUUAGGCUUUUCCCCAAAUUGAUUUAAAAUUCUAUAUAUAUGUAUGUAUGUGUUUAAGGAUGAAUAUUCAAUUGAGAGCAUGAGUUAUAAUGAAUCCCUCUGUUGAUAUGAUUUUUUUCAUUAUUCGUAUGAUAUGGAUUGUUUUGAAAAGCAUGAUAUGAAAUGUCUUGAAUUGUACUAUGAUUUGAACAUGAUUGUGAAAUCAAAAAAGAUGGUUGUGCAUGUUGAUAAAUGUUGAAUAUACAUAUAAUGAAAGAGUGCAUGGUUUUGCCAAAGUUACAUGACCAACAUAUGUUUGAAGAAUUCUUGCAUAAUUUUGACUUAUGUUUCGGAACAUGAAAUCUCUUAUGCUAUUUGCAUGUUUGGGUGGUUUGAAUUGAGUUUUGAUUAAAGAAUCAUGUAUGAGGCAUUAUGACUCAGAAAAAGGACUUGCAAGUCUUGGUGUAACGACACCAACUCAGAUAACACCAUGUUAAUUCAGAACAGAAUAGAAUGUAUGUUUGAAAUUAGAUUUUCAGAUUUUAAUACUAGAGUGGUGCAUGUUUCAGAACAGACUAAAAUUGGGCAUAAAGAGCGCUUAGGUGGUUCCCCGAAAAAGGCACGAGUUCAGAUUACUCAUUGCCCAAAACCGUGAUUUGCCGAUCCGGGUAUAUUAUUAUACGCUGGCCUAGUACCCUGUGGUGUAUCAGACUCAGACACUCCGACCCUUGCGACACACUUGGGUUAGGGGCUUCCCUGCCGAGUCAAUGACGGAUUUCAUAUAGCCCGUGGAAUAUUAGACUUAUAGGGGAGUGCCACCUAACUCAGAAGUAAUACAAAGAUCAGAGGCAGCAUUGACAGAAAAGUUUUAUAAUUAUCAAUAGGGGUGUGCAUCGGUUGGUUCGGUUCGAUUUUAUAUACUAUCGGUUAGAUUUAUUAAUUUUUAAAUAUGCUAAAUCAAUAACCAAACCAAUAAGAUAUUUCUUAUCGAUUUUCGGUUUAUCGAUUUUUUGUCCUUAAUGGUUCGGUUUUUGGUUUAACCGAUAAGAAAAUACUCAUAAAAUAGAAAUAGUAACUAACAUGAAAAAAAUGAAUCUUAGUUGCAACCAAAAAUCCUAUAUGAUGUGUUUUAAUUUAUAAGAAUCUUGAAGUUUGAACUAAAUGUUGUUAGAAGAAAUUAAGAGUUUGUAUCAUUGAAAUAAAAGGUUUGUUAAUUUGUAGAAAUUAAAGAGAAAUAUAUAAUAGGUCAUAUAUAUAUAUUCUUAUUGGGUUAUCGGUUUACCCAAUAACCCAAUAAGAAAAAAUCGAACCGAACCAAUAACCCAAUAAUUUUUUUAUAAAACCAUUCAAAAACCGUUAACUCAAUAACCCAAUAACAAUAAACCAAUAACCUUUUUAUCGGUUCGGUUUUUGCACACCCCUAAUUAUCAAAGAUGCCCAUGUGUUUUGGAAUUUAUAUCGUAUGUGAUGUUUUAUGACUAGCUCUCAACUAUUUUAUUAAAAUUAAAAGCUUUAUUUUGGAUUGCUCUGCGUACCAGUACACCUGUAUGUAUUGACCCCCUACCUCUCAGGUUCGGAGACUCAGUCCAAGGUCCGGCUAAUCAGUAGAGUAUUCCAGAGAGAAGUGAUCCGUUCAGUGGUGAGCCUUCUUUGUUCCAGAAGGCUUGUUAUUUCAGAUUAUGUUAUUCCGUUGUUUUGGUCUAUUGGGGCCUUGUCCUAGUUUUCAGAACAAUUUUGAGAUGUAGAGAUUUCGCAGAUUGAGUCAGAUCUUAUUCAGAUGUUUUGAAUCGUAACUUUCAUUCUCAUGUCUUGAAACUCAGAGUUAAUGACCAUGUUUCCGUAUAAGAUUAUAUUUUCGCAUAUUCUCUUAUUAUAUGAAUGUUGUGCAUGACUAUCAAAUAGAGUAGGACGUUCGGGCCUUCAUGGUUCGGGAUGUCCGUCACUGCCAGGCCCUAGUUCGGAUCGUGAUAUAUAUGCUUUAGAAAUAUAUGAGAAGUAUGCAUUUCUCUAGAGGUAUAUAUAGAAAAUAUGCAUUGGUGUAAUGGAGAUAUAUUAAAAGUAUGGAUCUCUGUAAUAACACUUUCUCUAUUUAGCAUUUGUCAAGGUGGAUCAGUUGAUGCCAGGGACCGAGGGCAGGAAUCUAAUUGUCAAGGUCCUAAAUACUGAUGUGGUGGUUGACAAGAGCCAAAAUACUGAGCAGCAGUCCUAUCUAUACUCAUAUUCUCAAUUGCGAAUCACACGUGUAGCUGAGAGCGUUGUUGGAGAUGAAACUGGAACUAUCAUAUUCACUGCUCGUCAUGAACAAGCUAAGGUAAUGCCAAUCUUCUUUUUCUCUUUUGUUGCCUUAACAUAAGCUCAUUUUCUGUGAGCUGACUGCAGUCCAAGUCCUAGAUUGGUCUAUCCAGUCUCCACUAUCAAGGAACAAUAACAAUAGUGACAAAUUUGAUUGCUAUUAGCAUAAUACCUAUUGCUUGUGCUUAUGAUAGCUGUGGAUUUGUCAUGUGGUUGACUUGAUGGAGCCAGGUAACAUCCUACUUAUUUAUGGUGCAAAAAUCCAAAUGUAUCGAGGUUUCAUGAGGUUAGCUGUUGACCAUCGAGCACAAAUCAUAAUCGCAGAACCAGUGGAAUUUGUAGUAAAUGAAGAUUGCAGCAAGUCUUUGGUUGAGUACGAGGUAAUCCCGAAAUAUUGAUGAUGAAGAAAGAACUCAACACUAUUCAUCACCUUAGACCUGCAAGGUGUCUCUACCUUAAAGAAUGCCUUGGUGUAUAUUUUUUGUAUUUUCUCGGUUCAGAAGCUCACUGUAUCAGCUGAUUGCCCAAAAGGCUAUUAGUUUGUAGCAUUUCAGUGGUAAAGCUUUGAAUUUUGCAUGCUGUUCUCAGCCUUAGCAACGCACUUCCUUCAUCAUGUCAUUCUCAUAUCAUCUUUUAAUUUGAAAAGUUUUGGUGGUUUAUGUGUAUCAAAUGUAAAUCAAAAGACAAAUCUUCAUUUUGUUUAAUUUCAAAUGAUGCUCCAUCCGUUAGGAUCCUAUUAAAAAAAUGAUAGCUAUAAUAACUUUACCAUACUAAGUGAUGUUUAAUAAUAGGUAUUGGAAAAUGAUUUGAAGAAUAAGUAAUUAAUGGUAAGAGUAGAAUAUGAAAAAAAUUUGACUUUUUUAAUUUUGUCAAAAAUGACAAGCAAAAAUGAAGUUCGAAUGAAAAAAAUAGUAACAAAUAAAUCUGAAUGAAUGUUGUAAUUGAGAGCGCGUCAAUUGGAAAAGAAUGUUUCAAGUUGUGCGUCUUCGAUGGGGUCUCUGAGGACAAAAAAGAUACACUUGAAGUAAAAAGUAUGCACUGUCUAAAGUUUGCUAAUUUUUGCGGGUACUUUACAAAGCUCUAAGUGGUUUGAAAUUUUGAAGUAAUUGUUACUCCCUCAAUUCUUUUAUAAUUUCUCUUUUUGGGUUGUAAUUUUAUUUCUAAGUAAAUGUUUGUUUAAGCCUUCAAGAAUAUUAUGAUUAUAAUCUUUUGGAAAAAGGCUUAAAUAUGUCACUGAACUAUUAGAAAUGACUCAUUUAUGACAUUCGUUAAAAGUUCGGCUCAUUCAUGCCAUUGCCGUUACGAAACAGACCCAUUCAUGCCAUUACUUUUUAACAGCCGAUUUUUUUAAAAAUUUUUGCCACGUGACAUCUUAUUAGAGGUCCACGUUAUUAAGUACAAUAAAUUAAUUUUAAUUAAAAUAAAAAACAUGAGACCCAUUUAAUAUCCCAUCCAUUAAAUUACCCGAUCCACAUCCAUUCAAUAUUACUCUUCCGNNNNNNNNNNNNNNNNNNNNNNNNNNNNNNNNNNNNNNNNNNNNNNNNNNNNNNNNNNNNNNNNNNNNNNNNNNNNNNNNNNNNNNNNNNNNNNNNNNNNNNNNNNNNNNNUAUUCCAGAAUUGGUUAAUCUUAGGUAUAGGUCGGGCAUAAAAUAGCCGUCUGAAGACGAUUUUGGUUCUGCAUCUUAUACGGAUCCCGAGCUUUGUUUGAAUGCUAUAUGUGCUUUGUACCGUCAACAAAUUUCUAGAAACAAAUUCUCCUCGAUGAGUAAGAAUGACAAAAAAAGGUAUAUAUCAAUUUCUCGAUUGUUUUUUUUCUUUAGUUCAUGGAAAGACAAUCUUUGUAAUCUGUUUUUGCCUGCUUUUUCUUAAAGGAUUACUGCUUUAGGGGUGUUUCUGUGUGAUGAGGAUCGCGAAAACAAGCUCAAGAGAACAAUUUCGGAGGUUGGACCGGAAGAUCUUUGGAGAUGCAAGACACUGUCUAUUCAAUACUACUGCCAAAUAUAUGGGAUUUACAAUAGCAAGAAAGACCAUCUGUUCUGCCCCGGUGCUGCUAUCUGGAAAUUAAGCUCCAGUUGAUGCGAAGGCUGUCUGCUUGUCUCUAUGUGUACAAAUGCUCAAAACGAGGGUCUAGUUGUUGCACCAGACUCCGAGGGAGCUCGGCAAAAAGUUCUUAUACUAGACUUGCUUUGUUAGUAGGAACAAUUAGGUGCUUAUCGUUAAUCUGUUGGACUUCAAUGUAGUAAUUUGAUUAUGAAUUGCUAUAUUUAUAGAAUGGUUUGAGUACAAUUGAACAGUGGAGGCAUGUAAUGUAUCGUGACAUUAUUCGUACAGCUAUUCGAAAACAUGUUUGCUCGAUACAUAUUGUUGAGUCAUGGUAUUGGUAUACAGUUGCGGAAGCUAAAGAGCGAUUUUGUGUUUGAAUAACCCAGAAAAAAAAAGUUGAGCACAAAGAGAAUGAGUUAUUUAAUGAUAGCGUGGGAAGAUAAUGUGGUGAUAUUAAAUGGGUGUGGGUCGGAUAUUUAAUGGAUCGGGUAAUUUAGUGGAUGGGAUAUUAAAUGGGUCUCAUGUUUUUUAUUUUAAUUAAAAUUAAUUUAUUUUACUUAAUGACGUGGACCUCUAAUAAGAGGCCAUGUGACAAAGUUGUUUUUAAAAACUGGUUGUUAAAAAGUAAUGACAUAGAUGGACCGAUUUCGUAAUGGCGACGCAUGAAUAAACCGAACUUUUAACGGAUAAUAUAAAUGAACUAUUUCUGAUAGUUCAGUGCCAUAUUUAAGUCUUUUCCCUAAUCUUUUUAAUAUGUCCUUGAAUUUCAACUUGAAAAGAGAUAAAAUUUAAUGAAUAAAUUAGUAUAGUUACCUUUAGGAGUGACAAUUUCAGCCCAUAUUUGUGAAAAGAGUUCAUUUAACCCAUAUUUAGUGAAUUUGAUCAUUCAUAUUUCAAAUGGGUAAAUAUGGACUUCAACUCAUUUUAAAAGUUCAUAUAAAUAUGGACAAAAUGGAUAAAAUAUGUGUACCCAUUUAAACACAGAAAUCACCUACAUAUGCUUAAAGUUUCAGUUUUUUUUCUUUUCUAGUUUCUUUUCUUUUUCUUUUGCUUUUUUCCUUUAAUUUACUUUUUUUCUUUUUCAUUUUUUACUCAUUCCUUAUAAUUUCUUUUUUUCUUUCUAAUUUUUUCAUCUAUUUUUUUAUUUUUUUUAUUUUUUUUAUUUUUUUUCUUUGUAUUUUUUUUCGCUUUUCGCUUUCUCAUUCUUAUUUCAUCAUUCAUAUUCGUUUGAGACCUACAUGGGUUAGUAAAUAUAAGCUUCUAAUUAUCCCAUUUAGCCUAUACAAUUCAUAACAUCUCUUAUCAAUUAGAUAUAAUCCAUAGUCUCCUCCUUUAUUAUUAUUUUUUUCUAUCUUUUAUUUCUCUUUCUUUUUUUUUUUUUGCUUUUUUCUUUCUUUUUUCCUUUAAUUUAUUUUUUUUUCUUUUUCAUUUUUUUCACUUAUUUUUUACUCGUUUCUUACACUUUUUUUCUUUCUUCGUUUUCAUCAUUUUUUUCUUUUUCAAUUUUAUUUCCUUGUAUUCUUUUUUUUUUGUAUUUCCGUUUCCCCCUUUUUCAUUCUUGGUUCGUCAUUUUGUCAUUUUUCUUAUUUUUUAUAUUCUUUUCCUCAUAUUUUUUGUCAUUGCAUUUUAUAUUUUUUUACUUUGAAUUUAUUUGUAUUAUACUAUAUAUUUCAAAUAAAUUUAUUAUUUGUAUUUGAAUAGUUUAGUUGUCAAUAUGUGCAAUUUAUCAUUUGUAUUUAUAUACAAAUAAAUAUAUAAAUUAAAAUCAACAUGGGUUGUGGUGCAGUGGAUGAGACUGCUCCACCCUUAACCAGAGGUCGAGGGUACGACCCUGGUUAUGGAGAAAACUCUGUUGGGAGCGCUGCCACCUUAAUGGGCCCUGCAACUCCCGAUCCGGAUUAGUCGUGGCUCUAAUGCAGGCACCAGAUGAAAAAACAAAAAUAAAUAUAUGAAUUAAUUGUGUUUUCUUGAGAUUAAAAUAUAUAUGGUUGAGGAUCCACAUAGCCCUCGAAUUAUAAAUAUUGGGCGAAUAUAAAUCAAUAUGCGCUUAUGGUAUUUUCGUUAUCAUAAAAAAAAAAAGGAAACCAAAAAUAGAAAAAAAAAAAUAGAAAGAGAGAUCAAAGUUAGAGAUAAAAGAGAGAAAAAAGCGUAAAGAAAGAAUUGAAGAAAAAAAUAUAAAAAAAAUCAAAAAGAAAAAAUAAUGAAAAAGGAGAAAAGGAAAAAGAAAAAAGAUGAUGGUGAAAACAAAUAUACUGAGUGUUUACGAUAUUUUAGUCAUCAUCAAUAAUUUGUAUUCGACUUAACCAUGUUCUUCGAAAAUAAAAAAAAAUAUAAAACAUAAAAUACAACCAAAAAAGAAAAAAAUAAGAAAGAAGUAAAAAAAAAAGACUAAAAAGGAAAAGGAAAAAAAAGAAAAAAGAAAGACAAACAAAGGGUAGAGCGUAGAGAUAGAAGAGAGAAAAAAAAAAGAAAUGAGAAAAAAAUGAAAAAAGUAAAAAAAAAAAAAGAAAUUGAAAAAAAGUCAAGUUGUUAUGAUAUAGAAGUUUAAGUUUUUGACUUGGGAGUUAAAGUAGGUUGAAACCAUUUUUACCCAAUCCAUAUUUGACCAAAUCCAUAUUUACCCAUAUUUAUAUGAGCAGAUUGCAAUCCAAACCAUUUUUGCUCGAUCCAUAUUUAACCUGUUCAAAUCAAAUCCAAUCCGUCCGUUUGUCACCCCUAGUUACCUUUAAUUUUUUUUUUUAGAAGCAUUUACUUAUAAAUGAAGGGAGUAUUUUUUUGGACUACUUUAAUAAAUGAUCACUCACUUUUCAUUUUUGUAAUAUAAAAAUCAAUCAACUUUAUGUAAGUAUUCAAGAAAAGCUUCAACAUGACAAAAGUCCUUUAAUUAUUGCUUUGAGAUAUUGCAAUUAAGUAAUCAAUCAACUUUAUUUAAGUAUUGUAAAAAAGUUGUAUGCUGGGGUAGGUGAGGGCGGGUGGGGUGGGGUAGGCGUGAAAAUAGUCCUUCUUCGGAAUCGUGUCAGAACUCAAGAUCUACAUUGCAACCAGUCGUAUUUCUUAAGUAUAAUAUUAUUUCUCCCAUCCCAACACUAUCAUAAGAAAUAUCAAAAUUGAGGAGAAAGAUGGCAUGAAUGAACAAAGGAUGGGAGAUUUUAAGUGGAAAAAUCAAGAGCAUAGCAGAAAGAUGGGAGAUUUUGAGUGAUACGACCAACUAGGAAGGCUUACUUGACCCUUUGGAUUACCAUCUUCGCCGAUACCUCAUUCACUAUGGUCAAAUGCCUCAAGCCAUUGGCGAUUCAUUCAACAGUGAAACAGCUUCAAAGUAUUAUGGAACAAGUCGAUACUCCGAAAAGAACCUCUUCAAAAGUGUGGGAUUCGACAAAAACAACCCCUACAAAUAUGAAAUCACCAAAUAUUUCUAUGCAGCUUCAGAUGUAACAGAGAAGGUGAAAGAAUCAAAUUGGAUUUGUUGGUGUUGCCACUGAUGAGGGUAAAGUUGCAUUAGUCAGGAGAGAUAUUUUAAUUGCUUGGAGAGGUACCUUGACGCAAUCAGAAUGGAAUGAUGAUAAGCAAGUGCCAUUAGUCCAACCAACAGAAAUCUUUAGAGAAAAUACGAAUAACAUUCUAGUACACAAAGGUUUUUAUUCAAUUUAUACUUCUCUUAACUAGGCUUCGGGUUUCAAUCGAACAACCAGUGCUAGAGAUCAGGUUAUGGCAAACUGAAAACCCUUCAAAUCUUACGCAUUAGCAAUGCGUCUGAUCUUGUUCCGAAAAUACCAGAGCGUGGACUCGUAGAAUGUUCUGAAAAUGACUGGAGAGUGUAUGAACAUCUUUGCUUUGAAGUGUUAAUUGAUAUAACAAAGUCAAAGUACUUGAAGAAAUGCAUAAAUAGCCAUAUUUUGGAGGUUUAUUUGCACGGUAUUGCUGGAACCCAUGGACCAGAUGAAGAGUUCAAGUUGGAAAUAAAUUGGGAUAUUGCUCUUACGAAUAAGGCAGACGAUGUGUUGAAGGAUGAAUAUGGUGUGCCAGUGUCAUGGUGGAUCGAGAAGAAUAAAGGAAUGAUUCAACAUGAAGACGGAUCUUGGAUUCUCAUGGAUCACGAGGAUGAUGACACUUCUUACCAUAGAUUGCGAUUUAUUUAAAACUUCAUGUAUUCAUUAAGUACCGGUAAUAAGCGAGCAUGAUAUAGUCUUAUUACUACACCGGUUUUAUCAUAUUUGUUCAGAUUAAAAGGGAUUGAGUGCAUAAAUGGAUCAUAGCAAAUCUGUUUUAUUUAAUUUGAUGUUCAUGAUAGAAGUCAAAUUAGCCAGAGCAGUGGGUCACACAACCCUUUUAUCUCUUUUCUUCUAUUUUCAGUAAAGUGGAUGCUUUUAAUUCAUUCAAAUGUACUUGUCCUUUGUCCUUCCGUGCUUACUUAAAUGGAUUUGUGAACAUUAAUUACGAUCAUCUUUUAAACUAUAAGAUGGUGACGGGAACUUGCUUGAAAAUAUAUAAUGCAUUAGAAAAUUAGUAGUAAUUCAGAUGGCUAGCCAGUUAUAAGCAACCAAUAUAUUCUCUGUGUGGGACUGAUAGCAAAGCCGUUGUCCAAUUGAAUGGGUUGAUUUGGGUAUUUCAACUUCAAAGUUUAAUUAGUAAUUUUACCGUUCUGUUCAUUUUAGCUCAAGUUGGGAUGGUCAUUCAUAUCAUUGGCACUGCCACAAUUUAUUUUCUACGCUCUUGAUAUUAUUUAGCCGUUACUAGUGUCUCUCGAGAAUCAAUGUAAGACUUAAAAUUAUUAGUCUAUCACAUACCCGCUAAAACUCAAGGCGUUAUUAGUGCUUGCGCAAUUGGAAGAGAGCCGAUGUCAUGGGGAAACCAGAAGAGCAAUGGUCACUCUACGCUCUAGUUAGUUUUUGCUAGUGUUUUCUCUAUAAUUUCAAGAUAAGUGUACUGGUUUACUCCUUUUUUUUUUUGGGUGUUUUAUACAUUUCUUUUAUGUUUUUGUUUGCAUCGUUUCUUAUUUUAACAUGUUUCACAUAUAACAAAGUUGAUUUUAAACACUGAGCUAAUAGAAAUUAGGCAUAAUACAUAACCACAUCCUUUAAGUUGACAUUGGUUCACAUCUAUGACCUUGAAUUUUUGAUGUGCAUAAGUAUACACUUAAACUUGUAUACAGUUGAACAAAUAGACACGUCCAUCCUAUGCGUACAAUACACGUAAGAUGCCAUGUUGGACAUGAAUUGGCCACGUAGAAUGCCACAUAGGACGCAUGCAUCUUCUUGUUCAACUUUAUACAAGUUUAAAGGCCUACUUAUAUACAUUUAUAGUUGAGGGCAUAGAUGAAAGUUGAAGCCAAGUUUGAUAUGGGCACGACCACGGAGAUGGACACAUGAGAGUGUGUAUUGAAACCGUCUAAGGGAGUGUACAAGUGAAGUGGAAGAAGGCCUUUGGAACUCACCAAAACAGCCCCUAAGUUGCACUCCAUGGGAGCCCUUAGCUCACAUUUCAUUAAAGGGUCUUUUGGUCAUUUUACCUUUUAAUUAUAACCUACUAUAAAUAGAACAUGUUAACGUUUUAUUUAUUAGUUUUUGGAUAUUGAAACUUGUAUAACAUAAUUGAAACACAAUUCUCUCUCAAGAGAAAGGCUCUUGGCCGAAACUAGGUCAACACUAAGUGUGGAUUCACUUGUGUUGUUUUCUUGCUUGGAAUAUUGGGUGCUUGGGAGAUUGAGGUCCCUCUUGUGUUCACGAAGAGUGUAGGUGUUGCUGUUAUCGUUAUAUUAAGGGUUUUUAUGUUUGAAAAACACUUAGGUUCUUAGUUCAUGUAAUAGUGUGUGUCACACUAUCUAUCUUUACAUUUCUUGUACUUGUUGUUCUUGUUCUAGUCAAAACCAUGUAUUGUUGUUAUCAUCUUGGGUUCAUCUUGUUCUUGUUGUGUUGUUGUUGUUUUGGUGUUAAAAUACACUUUCUAUCUUGCCAUUCUUGUGUUGUUGUUGGCCGAAACUAGCUUUCAAAGGGGUCCUCAGUUUGUGCCUUGUUGUGUGGACUAUUAUGUGUCAUUUCUUGUGUUCCUUGAUUUGUUUUGUAUCAUUUGGUAUCCGAGUUUGUGGUUGAUUUUGUUCCAACAAAAUCAAUCUUGGGCUUGACACUUGAAAAAUAAAAAAAAAAAAGAGAAAGAAAAGUGUUCUUGUUGUUGUCUCUUUAACCGAAAGUUGAGUCUAGCUCUAGGAGUUCUUUUUCUUUAUUUUGUUGUUUCUAGUGUUAGUUUUGUUCUUCACUAACACUUUGAGUCUAGAUCUAGAUUUAAUCUUGAAUUGAUUGAUGUUGUUGUUGUUGUGAACAAGGUAUGGUUGUGUGUUGAUGUUGUUGUUCUUGGCCGUGUGGUGACAUUGUCGUGGAUUUGGAUUGGACAUCGGUUGAUGUUGUUGUUGUUCUUGGUGGAAUGUUGUUGUAAUUCUUGAUGUUCUUCACCUCCUUCAUAAAUUCUUAAACAUAAAGAGAGCAUUAGAUCCAAAAGUUGAAGGAGAAAUGGUGUAAGAUUUGUUAGUCUUGAAAGACUUCACAACCACUAAAGACCUUUCAAUCACUUCUCAACCACUUUUCCAUGAUUUAAGGACCCAUGUUUUGAGAAAAACGUACAAGUCAAGUCAAGACUUUUUGUGUUUGAAUUUAAAAAGGGCUCCAAGACUUGUAUUUCCCUCCAUUAACCAAAUUCCACAAUUCCAAAGUUGUAAAUUGAUCAAGACUUGAAAAUUGAAAAAUAACACCUUGAUAAAAUUGUAGAAACCAUAACCAAUUGAGGGCUGCGACAUCGCCAUUUACUGUUCACACAAUAAUUUUGACCUCAAAUUUUGAUUCUUAGUUCCUUAUUAUUAUUUCUUAGUUUCGUUUGUUAAUUCUAAAACUAAUUGACAAGCUAGUACUCUCCUACUAGAUUGUGAGUUAGUCUUGAGUCUGUUUGUUCGUGUUAGCAUUAUUGGUGUGCUUUUAUCAUUUUAGAAUCAAUGUUAGUUCAUUGAUUCAAGUCCUACGAGAUUUGUUUGAGUUUUAGCCCAAAAUCUAUUCCGGACAAGAGUAGAAUCAACCCUCGACUCCUCAUGAGUUCCUUAGCCAGCUUACAAUACUUAUGAGGCUACGUGUGAGGUAAUCAAAGAGUGAGAGUGUGGUGAGGCUUAUUUUGAACUAAUUAUUUGUUCGUUUUGCAGGUAUAAAUGCGAUAUAAAGGAAACAUAUCUUCGAUAGCCGGGGAUUAUUGUGACUACAACAUGGGAGACUAUGAUUGUAGUGAGAGAUUUUAUGGCUACAAAGUUGAUGAAGAUUAUGGGGGCUAUGAAAAUAGCCAAGAACAAGGCACAAAAGGAUUUGAAAGUUAUGGGUUUGAGGGGAAAAAUGAAAUGAAUGAAGUGCCUAGUGCUUAUAGUGAGUAUGGAGGUGAUGUAGGACCUUGUGAUGGCUCUUAUGAUGAAAGUGGGAUGUAUGGGGAGUCUUGCACUACCCAAGCUGAACCUAGACUUGGAGUUAGUUAUAACCCGUUCAUUUACAAAGUUUAUGAGAGUUAUGGUGAGAGUGCACGUGUGGAGUGUGAGAAUUCAUACUCUUUACCUUGUAGUAUUUCUUAUCAAGGUCGAAGUGGUGCGAAUGGUUAUACUAGCUAUAGUGGAGGUUGUCCCAUGAGAAGAAGAAAGCAUGCAUCUCCAAAGUCGAAGGGUACUCAUGUGCCUUACAAUGUUGAUCCAAGAAGGAGUGUUCACACCGAAAAGGUGACCAUAUGUGGGAUACCGGGCUACCUCAUUGUUCUAGAUGAUAAGUGCUAUGGAAACUACAUCUUUCCAUCCAUGGUUGACUAUUUGGGGUUGUUUCGAGAACCUUUACUUGUUUCAUAUUUCUUGGAAGGGUUUAAGGUUACCGAGAGGGUGAAAGUUGUCUUCUCCCAAUUUGAUUACCAUAAUGAGGUGUGGUGUCAUAUUUUUCCCUUGACAUAUGGUCAUGUGAGCUUGGGUGCCGAUUGGUUUACACAAUAUAAAGUUUCAAAUAUGCAAAAUUGUCCUAAUGUAGUAAGAGAUCAAUGGGGAAAUAAUCUCACGAUGUACAUUCUGCCCAAGCCACAAAGAGAAGUAUUCACCUACUCCAGUCUGAAUAGUUAUGAGAGACAAAAGAUUGAGAGAAGUAAGGGUGUGCAAGGUAGUAAUUCGAGAGUGGAAAAAGGAGAGGUUGUGUGGAGCGAAGUGAGGGGAUUACCACCAUACCAUGCUAACAUUGUUUGUCCUUCUAUUUCUAAGGACAUUUGUGUAGGUACCAACAUGGUAAGUGAGGGAGUAUAAUGCCGAAGAGAAGUUGCUUCCCAAGCUAGUGGAGGACCUUCACACCACGACAAAGAAGAAUCUACACAAGAACUUCAAGGUAAAAUAUCUAAAUCUUACACUUUUGAGUAUGUGAAUGAUAAUUGUGAAGCUAGUAGCCCAUCGAGUGUGAGUAGUAGCUUACUUACUUAUGAGUCUAAUGAUUCUUUGCCUAUUGUUGAUGAUGUACAUAUUGUGAGUGUGGAUACACUAGUUGAUCCCAUUGAUGACCAAAUUGACUCUUCUUGUAAGAUUAAUUUAUGUCCACCUAGUGUUGAAGCCAAUAUGUUGAAUGAAAGUACAUUGUCUUGUAAAAAUAGUGAUGAUCAACUUAUGUGUGUAAAUUUUCCACCACUUGAGGAUGUGUGUGAUGUGAUUAAUAGAACUCAUAUGAGUGAAUAAUGUGAAAAUAUUGGUCAACAAGAUAGGAGUGAAUACGUGAGCUUGUCCUUUGAUUCUAAUGUUUGCUUAGCUCAUAGGGAUAAUCUUGUGCUUGAAACACCUUUGAAAUUUGAUAUUGAUCUUUUAGAGGGUGAAGAACUUGCUUGUUCUAAAUCUAUCCACAGGAUAGAUCAUGUUCUCUUUAGGUAUAAUGUCUUGUUUGAAGAUGAUAGAAACACUCCUAAUAAACCUAGUGGUGAGAAUGAUGAUAUAGCUUGUCUUGGAGGCUAUAACAUAUAUGCUAACCCACUAUGAUGUGACAACAUUCCUCCUAAAGAUGGAAAUAUCUUUUUGGAAGAUGAGAGUACUCUUAAGGAUAAGGAAUGUGUAGUCUUUCUUGAUGACCUGAAGGAAAAGGUGUCAUUGACUCCUUGGGGUAAUGUUCCUAAAUGUGCAUCCUUGUUUGACAUAUUUGUGCUUAAAUUGCAUAAAUUCCAACUUGUGGAUGACAAGUUGUCUAUUUGUUUGAAGGAAAGAAUGUGUACGUGUCUAAAUGCUUAUUCUUCACCCGUUUAUGCCUUUACACGUGAUUCUUUCCUUUACUAUCUCUUUGCCUAUGAUGACAUCCAUACUGGUUUUGGAUUUGUUUUAUGUAGAGGUAGGAAAUUUAUUGGUUUGUCCACUUUUGUGAAUGAUGAUGCUAUAUGGAUCUUAUGGAUUUUAGAACCAAUUGAGGCACUACCCGAUGUGGUCUCUUGAAGAGAUGAAGAAGCACUUGUGUCUUAUGGCUACUAAGAUGAAGGUAGUUUUACCUUGUGGGUUAUUUGAUGCCAUUAGGACCUUUGUAGUUUCUUUAUCUCUUGAUACUUGUCAUAUCCAUUUUCUUUGUGACAUUAUUACUAACCUUUUAAUGACUAACACAAAGGAUUCAUGGUUAUAUUUCAAGUAUGUGCUACCUUGGCAUGAUGAUGUUAUUUAUUAUGCUAAUUCUAACCCUCAUGCCAUGGGGAUGUGGUGCUUGUUCGUCUUCUUUUGAAUUUUACAAGGUAUGGAUUCGAGGUUGAAUCCUUUUCAAGAAGGGAAGGAUAAUACGGGCACAACCAUGGAGAUAGAUGCAUGAGAGUUUGUACUGGAACCAUCUAAGAGAGUGUAAAAGUGAAGUGGAAGAAGGCCUCUGGAACUCACCAAAACAGCCCCUAAGUUGCACUCCACGGGGUCCCUUUUCUCACAUUUCAUUAAAGGGCCAUUUGGUCAUUUUACCUUUUAAUUGUAACCUAAUAUAAAUAGAACAUGUUAGGGUUUUAUUUAUUAGUUUUGGAUAUUCGAACUUGUAUAACAAAAUUGAAACAUAAUUCCCUCUCAAGAGAAAGGCUCUUGGCCGAAACUAGGACAACACUAAGUAUGGAUUCACUUGUAUUGUUUUCCUGCUUAGAACGUUGGGUGCUUAGGAGAUUGAGGUCCCUCCUAUAUCUUCGAAGAAUGUAGGUGUUGCUAUUAUCAUUGUAUUAAGGGUGUUUGUGUUUGAAACACACUUAGAUUCUUAGUUCAUGUAAUAGUGUAUGUCACACUAUCUAUCUUUACAUUUCUUGUACUUGUUGUUCUUGUUCUAGUCAAAACCAUGUAUUGUUGUUCUCAUAUUGUUGUUAUCAUCUUGUGUUCAUCUUGUUCUUGUUGUGUUGUUGCUGUUUAGGUGUUAAAAUACACCUUGUAUCUUGCCAUUCUUGUGUUGUUGUUGUUGGCCGAAACUAGCUCUCAAAAGGGUCCUCGGUUUGUGCCUUGUUGAGUGGACUAUUUUAUGUCAUUUCUUGUGUUCCGUGGUUUGUUUUGUAUCAAAGUUAAAUUACACAUUCAUUCUAAAUAACUGGCGAUGCCAAAAUUCAUAAAUUAUCAGAUAACGGUUAUAUUCUCAUGCAUUUCAAAUAGACCACCUAUUUUUCUUUUUUCACUGAAAUGGUUUAAUAUGUCCUGAUGUAUGUACCAUGCACAAAGUAAAUUCUAAUAAGCAGUGAUUUAUCAAGCCUGUUGCAAGCUUAUUAUCCGUUUAUCUGACUGUAACACCCCGCAUUUUCGAGCUAAAAAGCGAACCGUCAUUCUUACGUGCGUAGGCUCUAAUUCCAUAGCUUAUAUUUAAAUUCAUGUGCCAUGAUGCUUCUCCUAGUGUAUGAAGUUAUUAUGAGGUGAGAAGUGUUCAUUAAAAAAAAAUCACUUGGAGCAAAGUUGAGAUAAGAGUCAUUCAUUCAUCCAAAGUUUGAUAUUCGAUUCUACAAGGGUCUACUUUGAACGUGUAUAACUUUCUAUACAAAGAAUUUUUCAGCUCAAGACCCACCAAAUUUUAUAUAAUUGAAUUAGCUUUCCAUCGAUACCAGUUUUGCCAAAAUCCGAUACCCGAGCGAAAAGUUACACCAUUUUUGUGAAGAGGCAGUAAGCCGAGGCGAUAUGCCCACGACGCGCGCUCCAUCACCCCCAGCUAUUUUCCAGGUUCUAUUUUCACAUUUUUAAGGGAAAAAGGGUCCUUUCCUUCACCCUAACCCGUCCAUAACAUAAAAUUUCAGCCUCAAGAAGCAUCAAUUGCAUCUUUAUUCAAUUUCUCUCUCAAAAGAUUGAAAACCCUAACCAUCUCUCCAAGAACAAGAUUCAACUUUUCUUCCCCCAAAGAUCAACAAUUCAAGCCUUUAAGUUCAAGAUUUUCAAGAAUUGAUUAAGAUUCGGAUUCCAUUCUUCUAACUACAAAUCUAAGGUACGUGGGGUUUUCCUAAAACUACAUGGGUAUGGUGAAAUUGUUUUAAUGAUGAAUAAAUGUUUAGAAAUCACGAACAUAUAAAGAGGUUUUGGAUUUACAAUUACAUUUAUGUAUUAUGAACCCUUAUUAAUGAUAAAGUUUUGGUCUUGAGGACUUUCCCCCAAAUUUGAUUUCUAACCAUAUAUAAGUAUAUAUAUGUAUGUGUUUGAUGAGUUUGAAUGAUGAAUUGAGAUCAUGAACUAUUAGAAAUCCCUCUCUUUUUACAAGCUUCUUAUUUUCGUAAGUUAAGAUUUAUUCGAAAUGUAUUGUUAGAAUCAUGAUACAAAUGUCUUGAUUUUUGGUUUAUGACUGGAUUAUGGAUUUGAAUUGAAGAGAGGGUGUUUUACUUGGUGUUAAAGUUUAAAGAUAUUUACUAAGAAGAUUGCAUGUUUUGUCACAAAUUUCAUGACCACCACAUGUUUGUUGAAAUGCUGAAAAAAGUGAUCUUUGCAUAGCUUGAUAAAUAUUUUGAAGUCUUGAAUCGUCUUGAAUUGUUUGAAGUAUGGUGGUCUAAAUUUUAUGUUUUGAAAGAAGAGACUAUGAUAUGAUAUUUUAUGGAUCAUAAACAUGACUUGCAAGUCUUGAAAUGACGAUACCAAUACAAAUAAUGUCAUGGUAACACACAACAGAACAGAAUGCAUGUCUUUAUUCAGAUUUUUAGAUUUUGUAACUUAGAACGAUGCAUGUUCAGAAAAAGAUUAAAAAAGGGCAUAAAGAUAUGUUAGGUGGUUACACAAAGAAGGCACGAGUUAAUAUAACUCAUUGCCCAAAAUCAUGUUUUGCCGAUAUAGGUUAUCAUAUCCCCAAGAGGGAUUAUACGCUGGCCUAGUGCCCUGUGGCAUAUCAGAACAGAAACUCUAACUCUUGCGACAAACUUGGGAUGGGGGCUUGACCUCCGAGUUAAGGGAAGACUCCAUAUGGCCCGUGGGGUCAUAGAAUUGUAGGGUGUACUACCUAACUCAGAAGUAAUACAAAGAAUUGAUCUGCAUAAACAAAAAUAUUUUUGGUUACGAUUAUUUUUUGCAUGAUGCUUAUGAAUUGCUCUCAUCUAUUUUAUUUACACAAACACACUAUUUUGAACUGUGCGUACCAAUACAAUUGUAUUGACCUCCUAUAUUUCAGGGUUUGAGGCUCAGUCUAUAGGCCCUGUUAAGCCGUAGAGUUAUUCAGACAGAAGUGAAGUGUGCAGUUGGUGAGCCUUCUUUAUUCCGAAAGGCCUAUUUCUUUUCAGUCACUUGUUAUUUACUUUGGUUUAGGUCCACUGGGGCCUUGUCCCAAUUUCAGACAGUUUGUUAAUUUUUGUAUGUAUUAGAGAUUUCGCAGACAGAAACAGAUGUUGUCUAGAUGUUGAUGGGUUUUCUUUCUUAUUGAUACACUUGACUCAGAACAUGACCAUGAUUCCAUAAUGAUUUAUAUUUCUGUAUCCUUUCUAUAUUGUAUGAGCAUUGUGCAUGAUUACCAGAUGUAGGAGGGCCCCCGGGCCUCUAUGGUCCGGGAUGCUCCUUGCGGUCAGGGCCUCAAUUCGGGUCAUGACACUGACAGUUUUCUUUGAUUUUUUUAGCACCUAAAUUACUGGUUGAAGAAUAUUUUAUUUUUCUUCUAAACAUUAGAAAAAGAAUCUAUUUUUCUUCUUUUUACUAGAUAUUGUGUAACUUUGAGAACUCCAUUUUCUAAGAUGUAGUUUGAUUCUCUUUCAGUUUCAUUGUUGGAAUAACUUCCAUAACUAUUUAUUCUAGAGGCUAUGUUCUGAGGUAACUCCUAAAAUAUGAACGUAAGGUUUUAACCAUCUAAAGGUUAAUAGCAUCAUUUGUAUGGAAUUUGUACAUGUUUAUGUAGUUUAACAGUAGCAUAUAUUUGGAAACUCUUACCUCUUUUGACCUUCUAGAUAUACCAUGAACGUCCUGCCGCCACAUGUGUACUUCAUCUUAAAUGAGCAUGUAUAAGAGCUCAUGUAUUUGAGUGUUCGAAAAUGGUGUGGCUCUGUAGGCUCUAACCAUUGCAAAAUAGUACCUGUUUAUUGGCCUGUUGCUUUACUGUUAUUGGCACAAAAUGAUUAACCCCUAUUUAGUUAGUUCAGUUAUUAGUUAAUAGUUUAGUUUAGUCAGUCUUAUUGUUUCAGCAAUUCUACUUUGUUUAGGAUACUGCCUUCAGCAGUCAUUGUUUCAGCAAUUCUACUUUGUUUAGGAUACUACCUUCAGCAGUCAUUGUUUAUUUAUAUUACGUUAGUAGUGUUUGUCUAGGAGUCUUCUUAUUUUAUCUGUAAGUUCUUCAAUAGUAUAAUUUUGUCCAGCACUUACUCUGCAUUUGUAUGGUAUCAGGGCUCUAUACUCUCUAACGAGAACGAUCCUGUUUUUUUCCCUUCUCUCUUCCUCAUGCAGAUCAACAGCAAUGGUCAACAACAAUGGAAACAAUCCCAGAGUUGUUAAUGCUGAUAACACAACGGGUGCUAACAUUAUUAUUCAAUUCAACCCUGCAUCCCAAUUACCUAUCAAACUCAGUGGUGACCAAUUCUCCGUGCUUAUGUGUGUUUACAAUCUAUUUGUCCAUCUCGACGGGAGCACUCCUUCCCCUACUUGCACCCUCACCAUUGGCAAAAAUGUAUCUCCCAAUGCUGCUUUUUUAACUUGGUUCCAUUAGGACCAACUCAUCCAGAAUGCCCUCAUGGCAUCUGUUGAACCCACAAUUGGUCCAACCAUUACUGCAGUCAACUCAUCCAAAUCGGCUUGGGACGCUCUGCACACCACUUAUGCAAACAGAUCACAAACCCGUGUCUUCAGCCUACGUGAUCAACUUGCUUGCGUCACUAAGGAAUAUCGCUCCAUUACUGAAUAUCUUCACAUUAUUCUAUCCCUUUUGGAUGAGCUAGCCCAUGGGCGGAGCUAUGUUGUAACAAGCAUGUUCAGAUGAACAACAUUCGUCGAAUUUUUUUUGGAUAUAUAAAUUAAAUAUAACAUUUUUUAAAUAUAUUCAAUAACUGAACAGUGUUAGCAAAGAAGGAAACAACAAACCAACGGUCAAGAGAGUGCAGAUUAACCCCAGCCACUGGGUUCUAUCCCCAAUUCUAGCAAUUUAUUUUUUCCACCUCUCAGUUCUAAAAGUAUGAAAACCCUUGAUAAAAAACUUGGCUCCACCACUGAGCUAGCCACCGCUGGUUCUCCUAUAUCCAAUCCUGAGCUGAUCGUCAAAAUACUAGGUCCUGAAUUUUGUGAAAUCUCUGCUGCCAUCCGUGCAUAUGAUAUGGCUGUCUCAUAUGAGGAGUUGUUUGAAAAGCUACUUGAUCAUGAGCUCUUCCUUCGUCAUUAAGAUUUUAAGAGACUUUCCAGUCCCAUAACUACCGCGGUCGCUACUCCCACCAAAUCUAAUACCAAUAACUAUAAAAAUCAUAGGCAGAAUAAUAAUUAUCAACAGUGGCAUUAGAACUCACAUCCUAAUAGUACGCCUUAGUGACAGUCCAACUCCAAUUAAAACAUUGUUACUCGAUGUCCACUAUGCAAUAGGAUUGGCCACACCACCAAGGUCUGCCGUUCGAAGUCUCAUAAUCACUUUGAAGCCAAAGACAACUAUGCUGCUGGAUUUAUUGUUGCCACCAACCCGUGGAUAGUCAACUCAGGAGCCACCUAUUACAUUACAACAGAGCCACACAACCUACAACCAUAUCACAGUAAUGAGGAUGUCUCCAUGGGUAGCAGUAACAAAAUUCCUAUAUCUCACAUAGGUUCUACUCAAUUAAAUGCAUUAAAUAAUGUUUUAAGCUAGCUAACACUCUUUGUGCCCCAUCUAUUAAACGCAAGUGUCACGACCCGAGCUGGGACCCUGGCCACGAUGAGUAUCCCGAAUCAUAAAGGCUUGGGCACCCCUUUCUAUCUGGUACUCCUGAACAUCAUUCAUAAACAAUAAAGUAAAGAUGCGAAAAUACUAGGUCCUGAAUUUUGUGAAAUCUCUGCUGCCAUCCGUGCAUGUGAUAUGGCUGUCUCAUACUACUUGAUCAUGAGCUCUUCCUUCGUCAUGAAGAUUUUAAGAGACUUUCCAAUCCCAUAACUGCCGCGGUCGCUACUCCCACCAAAUCUAAUACCAAUAACUAUAAAAAUCAUAGGCAGAAUAAUAAUUAUCAACAAUGGCAUUAGAACUCACAUCCUAAUAGUACGCCAUAGUGACAGUCCAACUCCAAUUAAAACAUUGUUACUCGAUGUCCGCUAUGCAAUAGGAUUGGCCACACCACCAAGGUCUGCCGUUCGAAGUCUCAUAAUCACUUUGAAGCCAAAGACAACUAUGCUGCUGGAUUUAUUGUUGUCACCAACCCGUGGAUAGUCAACUCAGGAGCCACCUAUUACAUUACAACAGAGCCACACAACCUACAACCAUAUCACAGUAAUGAGGAUGUCUCCAUGGGUAGCAGUAACAAAAUUCCUAUAUCUCACAUUGGUUCUACUCAAUUAAAUGCAUUAAAUAAUGUUUUAAGCUAGCUAACACUCUUUGUGCCCCAUCUAUUAAACGCAAGUGUCACAACCCGAGUUGGGACCCUGGCCACGAUGAGUAUCCCGAAUCAUAAAGGCUUGGGCACCCCUUUCUAUCUGGUACUCCUGAACACCAUUCAUAAAUAAUAAAGUAAAGAUGCGAAAAUUAAGCAAAUGAAUUCAUGGUUAUGUCCUGAGUUCAAUUUAACAAUAUGGAAAGAAAUCCAUAAACAUCUAGACAACAUUUAUUUUAGUCUGCAAAAUUUCUAAUACAUCAGAAACUAACAACUUGUCUGAAAUUGGGAUAGGACCCCCAGUCGGACUUAAAACCAAAAUGAAAUAAAAAUAUUCUAAAAAUAGGCCUUCCAAAAAUAAGAAGGCUCACCAACUGCACACUUCUUUCUGAUAAAUCUACGACUUAGCGAGACCUCUGGAUUGAGCCUCAGAUCCUGAAAUAUAGAGGGUCAAUACAAACGUACUGGCACGCAGAACAAUCCAUAAAAUAAAAAUAUACAUUUAUACAAAAAAUAAGAAAGCAUUUCAUAAAUCACAUGUCAUCUUAAAACAGUUGAAAACAAUUGAAAAACACAUGGGCAUAAUAUGAAACUUUCAAACACAUUCUGCAAUUCAUGACUCAACUCUUUAUCUUACUUUUGAGCUAGAUGGUACACCCUACAACUCUGCUAUUCCACGGGUUGUAUGGAAUCCUCCCUUGACUCAACGGCUAAGCCCUUAACCCAAGUUUGCUGUAAGGGUUGGAGUAUAUGCUUAUCUACUACACCACAAGGCCGUCGCUAGCGUACAAUCUCUCUUUUUGUGUAACAUAAAACCAUGCCGUCAAAUCACGAUUUCGAACAAUGAACCAUAUGGCUUAUGCCUUCUUUGGGUAACCAUAUAACUCUCUUAAACCCAAUUUUAGAUACUUUAAACUAUAUCUUCUUUGAAACAUUCUUUCUUUGUUAAUAUCAUUCGGGCACAUCAAAAAUAGGAUAUCUUCAUACCCUGAUUUGCAAUUCAUAUCACAGCAUAUCUACUGCCCUUAUCUUAUUUCAGAAGAGGUUUAUUGACCACCCAAAAGCUCUACCAUUUGAACAAAUAUUCAUAUUUCAAAUCAGUUGAAACAAAACAACCAUUUUCAAUACUUAUUCUACUGGGGUAACCCUUUUCAAUCACUUUCAAGCCAUUUUAAAAUGAAAUCAUGAUCAUCAUAAAACAAGUAAUCUUCCAUUAUCUCAUGAACACAGUGAAAUCUAUACAUAAUAGGCUCAACAUUUAACAAUUUUGCAUAAUUCAUUUCCAACAUUUAAAUUCGAUAUAAUUUCAUAGUAAAAAAGGGAAUCACAUAUCCCAUGCUUUUAUUUAAGUUCACAAUUUAAUCAUCAUCAUGUCACACGAAAAAUAAUUCAAGAUUAGGGGUUUGAUACCAUAAUUUUCACAAUACUUCAUCAAGAUGUAAUAAUUUCAAUACAAGUUUAUCAAUGAUCUUGAAACCAUUUCAUAUAUACAAAUAUAUAUUCUUUAAAACAAAUUUGAAAAUCCAACAUCAAUGCCCAUGGGGUUUAGGAUAGUCCCAUGUACCUUAUAUUGAUUAGUUUGAAGAUUGGAAACCUAAUCUUGAAACCUUUCUUGAGAAUCUUGAAUUGAAAGUCUUGAAUUCUUAAUCUUUGGGAGGAGCUAGGGUUAUGUUCUUGAGAGAAUUUGAGAUGUUUAAUUGAUGAAAUAGGAUGAAAAUAUCGCCCCUUGAGGAUUAUCAGGCAUGGACUGGGAGUUAUAAGGAAAGAAAAGACUAAAAAUCCCUUAAAAAUGCGGAACCAAUAGCUGCAAACUAGGGGUGGACUGGAGCAUGCGUCGCAUGCUAAUCACGUGACCUCACUGCCUCCCCCACGAAAAUGGUUAUAACUUUUCACUCGGGUAUCGAAUUAAGGUGAAAUUGGUAUCUUUGGAAAGCUGACUUAAUUAUCUAUAAUUUGGUGGGUCUUGAGCUGCAAAAUUCUACUUGUAUUAAAAUUUAUACACGUUCAAAGUAAAACCUUGUAAAAUCGAAUACAAAGAUUUAGCCGAAUCAAAGGUUCUUAACUCAACUUCGCUUUAAGUGAUUCCUAUGAAGAUUUUUCACCUCAAAAGAACUUCAAACAUAAGGAUAAAGAUUAUGAAACUUAUUCUCACUUAGAAAUAAUUUCUAUUAGAGAUUCCACAUAUAGGAACAACAGUUCGAUUUCUAGUUCAAAAAUGUGGGGUGUUACAACAAGCUUCUCUCUAUUUUAAAAUUUUGUCAAGAUAAUUCAAAGUCCAUUUAAUUUUUUCUCUUUGAUUUUGUUGUAAAGUAUCUGAAAAUACGAAAACCAAUGGUGCAUGGACGGACCAACAAUUUAUUGUAUGAGUGGCCUGUUCACAUCCCCAAACUCACAUGACUUCCACAUUGACUCCUCUCACUACUUGGCAUCAACAUUUGGGUCAUACCCACUUUAGAGUUCUUAGAUUUAUUUUAAAUAAAUUCUCGUUAGCAUUUCAUGAGAGAGACAAUCUUUAUUGUAAUUCUUGCUUAUCUAAUAGAUGUAUCGACAUUCUUUUACUCAAUUAUCAUUGUGCCGCUCCAAACCGCUUUAAAUAAUAUUUAGUAAUUUAUGGGGUCCAUCUGCAGUCUUAUCUCUUGACAAGAAAUUGUAUUAUUGUAUUUUUGUUGAUCAAUUUACGAAAUAUACUUGGCUUUAUACAUUAAAAAAUAAAAGUGAGGUAAAAGAGAUCUUUCAAAAAUUCCAUCCUAUGAUGGAAAAGUACUUUGACAUCAAAAUUUUAUCACUAUACACUGAUGGUGGAGGAUAAUAUAAAAGUAUUGACCCUUAACUCUCACUUCACGACAUUGAACACCUCUCUAGUCUACCUUAUACACCUCAACGUGUUGCACUUGCAGAACGGCGACAUUGUGAUACGGGAAUUACUAGUCGAAACCUUUCACACGAAGCCAAGAACGUGAGUUACAAUGACUCAAAGCCUUGUUCACAUCCUUGGCCAUGUGUGAGGCCCUUGUGAUCCCAUCUAAGGGCCUAUAUUUAAUAAAAUGUGAAGAGGCCCACCAAGACACCCCAAACCCACCCACUUAAAUGCCAAGGGUAUUUUGGUAUUUGUCCCUCCUUUUCUAAGUGACUUUAUAAGCCAUGUAAUAGGGCUAGUCUUGCUUUAGUUGAUUCCUAUUAUUCAAGAAACAAAAGACUUGUAAUUUUUUUAACUUCUCUUUCUCAUUUGGAGAGGCCAAAACCAAAUUCUCACUAGUAGAGUGAUACUAGUGUUGUAUGUUGGCUAGAAACUAAGUUCUUGGGGUUCUUUGAGUUCCUCUUGGUCCAAGUAAGAACUUGGUAUUGAUAUUUAUUAGUCUUGGGGUUCUUUCUCUUGUUAGGGCUCUUAGAUUAAUGAAUAUUAUGUGUCAAGUUUCUAUCUCUUUCUUUGUAAAUCUUGUUAACAUUGUAUUGUUGAAUAUAAAUGUCUAGUGAAACUGUGUGAGGCUCUUUCGAUUCACUAGCAAUAUUGUCUUUGUUUUUAUUGUUGUUAAACUCACUUUUCUAGUUCAAACAAGUGUUGCAAGCCUAGUGAAGCCGUGUGUGGUCAUUUUUGAUUCACUAGCACUCUGUUGUUCAUCUUGUUGUUCUUGUGAUGGUUGGAAUCUCUUGAUACACACUUAGCAUUGUAUAAUUUGGUAUCAAAGCUCAAGGCUAGGUUUUAUUCUUAUCAAAACCAAUCUUGGGAAGCUCUUACCAAAAAGUGUGUUCUUGAACAUUUUGGUCAAAAAAUUGGUUGUAGAUCUACAAAAGAUUUUACUUGUUUAGCUUGUUUCUUGUGUCGAUUUCUUCCCCAUCAAGACAAAAAGUGUCUAAAUAUAAAGUUGAGCUUAAUUGGAAGAGAAUUGUAGUUGUGAAAACUUGUAGUGGCCGUGAGUUUUGACUUGUGUUGAGGCGUUGGAAGUGACCAUUGUGGUGUAUUGUUGUUCUGUUCUUGAAGGUGUUGAUGUUGUGUUAUCCUAAACUUCUCCUCAUCUCAUGUCUUAACUUCUAUAAAGAUAAAUAGAUCCAAAAAAAAGAUUGUAAGACAAAAUUGAAAAAAAAAAUUGUUUGUGAGAAGACCAAAUCCUUCCCUAGCUUCACUAAAUGCCGCAAGCCAAACCACCCAUAACCCCCUAACCCGAAACUCCAAUAGACCAACCCAUUUCCAAAAUCCUCAAGUUCCACAAGAGGGACUUGGAUGCCCAAUACCUCCACUAAAUCCAAACCCUCCCUUCCAAGCUCCACUAAACCGAAGACCACAACCUCCACAAAAUCCAAUUCUUCAAAUCAAGUUCCUAAUGUCCAAAACCACCCCGUCCACUUUUAGUAAUAUGGUAGAGAGGAUUAUGAAGGGUAUGGGGCCUUUGAUGAUGCUUACAUGAGGGAGGAGGAAAUAAGAGGAAGACAUGUGGAUCCAAAAAGAUACCGAGGUUAUGGAGAAAGGGGAAAUCGACACCAAGAGAGAGAUGUAGGCAUCAAUACCAUCAAAUUGAGUCUACCUAUAUUUAAGGGUGAAAGUGACCCUGAGGUGUAUCUUUCUUGGGAGUCGGCGUGUGAUAAAGUGUUCUAAGUGAAUGAUAUCUCAAAGGAGAAUAAGAGUUGUUACUCCAUAGCUCACUUUGAAGGCUAUGCUAACACAUGGUAGGAAUACGACAAACGGUUUGGCAAUGAGUUGAUUGAUGGGAAACCACCACCUUGGUUUUGGUUGAGGUACCUAAUGAGACAAUGAUACCUUCCCGAGAGUUAUCGAUAUGAGUUGCUUGGUAGAUUGUACAACUUGAGGCAAGGGAAUCGAAGUGUGAUGGAAUAUUAUGAUGAUUUUCAACAACUUAUGUUGAAGCUUGAUCAUCAUGGAGAACACAUUAGUCAUGACUUCAUUCGGUUCAAGUGUGGGUUGAAUAAGGAUAUCUCCACUCAUUUGAUACUUCACAAGUUUGAUACCAUUGAAGGUAUUUUCCAAGUAGCUCUUGAGAUUGAAAGGGAACUUAAAGAGAGGUCAUCGUUCAAAGAAAAGGGACAGUGAGGGGCAAGGAUAUGGUUCAAUCCUCUUUGGGUUGGCCCAAAAAAAAGGACCAACCCAUCACUACUAGGCUUCCCGAACCCAAAACAGCCCACAAAAUCCCUUCGAGGCAAGAAAUUCACUAGUAUCCUAAUCCUAAAGGGUUCCAAUGCUUCAAGUGCCAAGGUUGGGGGCAUAAAGCCAAUGAAUACCCUAACCGACGUAGUGUAAUCCUAAGAGAAGGUAGAUUGUAUUUCCUUAGAGAAGAAGUGGGUAUUGAGGGUGAUGAGAGUGAGGUCGACCCUCAAGAUAGAGAGACGACCGAGAGGGAGCCACAUGAUGAUGAUGAUUGUGAGGAUUCUUAUUCUCAAGAAGAGGAGUGCGUGGUUCCAAACUUUGUAGUGAGGCAUGCCAUGAUUAGUAAGGCGAUAGAUGAUCCUAGUCAACGGGAGAAUUUAUUCUAUACUAAAUAUCUUGUGAAGGGAAGUGUGUGCACUAUGGUGAUAGAUAGUGGAAGUUGUGCGAAUGUGGUUAGUGUUCCAAUGGUGAACUUCUUGAAAUUGCCGACUACACCUCACACUAGUCCUUACAAGUUGCAAUGAUUGAAUAAAUACGACGAGUUAAAGGUCACAAGGCAAUAUGUGAUACGUGUUAAGAUUGCCAACUACCACGAUGAGGUGGUUUGUGAUGUGAUACCAAUGAAAGCUUGUCACUUAAUGUUAGGAAGACCUUGGCAAUAUGAUAGGUCGACCAAAUAUGAUGAAAGGUCUAAUCGGUAUACACUUGAUAAGGAUGGACGCAAGGUCGCUCUUCAUCCAUUAUUGCCUUCCCAAGUGAAUGAAUUACACCAAAAGAUGCGAGAAUUGAGGGAAAAAGGAAAGAAGGCCGAGAGUGAGGGGAAAAAAGGGGACCCCAAGAGUGAGAGAGUAGGGGAAAUGAGGGGCUCCUAAUUUCUAAGGGGAAAGAAAGUGUAGUGAUGAUAGCUAGGAGGAAAGAAUUAUUUAUGGAUCAUGACGAGGACACUCCAAUGCUCUUCUUGGAUCAUUGUUUUAAUACUAACGCCACUAACAUUUUUAUUUCUCCUCCUAUUUCUCAUGUUUUGUAGGAUCACGAGGAUGUCUUCCCAAAAGAUUACUGCAAGGAUUUCCCCUACUUCGGGGAAUUGAGCACCAAAUAGAUUUUAUGCCGAGUUCACAAUUGCCCAACAAAUCGGCUUAUAGGAGCAACCCGAUGGAUACCAAGGAAUUGCAAUGCCAAGUUGAGGAACUCCUCAACAAGGGGUAUAUCAAGGAAAGUAUGAGCCCCUGUGCGGUCCCGGUGCUACUAGUUCCCAAGAAAGAUGGGACUUGGCAUAUGUGUGUUGAUUGUCGAGCCAUUAACAAGAUAACGGUAAAAUAUCAUAACCCUAUUCCUAGGUUAGAUGAUAUGCUUGAUGAAUUGAGUGGUUCGUGUUUGUUUUCUAAAAUUGAUUUGAGGAGUGGCCAUCACCAAAUUUAUAUGCAAUCGAGUGAUGAAUGGAAAACCGCCUUCACGACCAAAUUCGGUCUCUAUAAAUGGAUGGUUAUGCUAUUCAGCCUAACAAAUGCUUCAAGUACUUUCAUGAGGCUAAUGAAUUAUGUGAUGAAGCCAUUUAUCGAAGGGUUUGUUUUUGUUUACUUUGAUGAUGUAUUGGUGUAUAGUAAAUCCUUAGAUGAGUAUGUAAAGCAUUUACAAUGUGUGUUUGAUGUUCUUCGAAAGGAGAAGUUAUAUGCUAAUCUAGAAAAGUGUUCUUUUGGUGUUCAUGUUGGGUUUGUGGUGAUCUCAAGAGGGGUCAAAGUGGAUGAAUCUAAGAUUGACGCCAUUAAAAAUUGGCCAACUCCUAAAAUCAUAGGUGAAGUGAGAAGCGUCCAUGGGUUGGCUAGUUUCUAUAGAUGUUUUGUCAAAGGAUUUAGCACCAUUGCCGCUCCCUUGACCGAAGUAAUUAAAAAGGAUCGGUCUUUCAAGUGGGGAGAUGAACAAGAUAAGGCCUUCGGAGACUUGAAAUCUAUGCUCAUCUCGGCCCCUUUGCUACAAUUGCCGAAUUUUGACAAGACUUUUUCUUGUUGAAUGUGAUGCUAGCAAAGUCGGCAUAGGCGUGAUUUUAAUGCAAGAAUUGAAGCCUAUUUCCUAUUUUAGAGAAAAUCUCAAAGGAGCAACUCUAAACUACUCUACGUAUGAUUUAGAGUUAUAUGCCUUGAUUAGAGCCUUGGCGACUUGGCAACAUUAUUUGUGGCCUAAAGAAUUCGUGAUCCAAAUGGAUCAUGAAUCCUUGAAGCAUCUACGGGCACAAGACAAGCUUAACCGACGGCAUGCCAAAUAGAUUGAAUUUCUUGAAACUUUCCCUUAUGUUAUUCAAUACAAGAAGAGUAAAGACAAUUUAGUUGCCGAUGCUUUAUCCCAAAAACAUGUGCUUGUGUCUAUUUUGUCAUCUAAGUUAAUGGGGUGUGAAUGCCUCAUGUCUUUAUAUCCCGAGGACCCUCACUUUGCUCCUAUCUAUAGGGAAAGUGAAGAGUUGGAUAGGGAUAGGUGGGUUACGGAUAGGGGUUCCCAUCCCUAUACCAAAUUUGAUGGAUACUUAUUUAAGGGUAGACGAUUGUGUGUUCCUUCAAGUUUGUAGAGAGAAUUAUUUGUGAGGAAAGCACAUAAUAGCGGUUUAAUGGGCCAUUUUGGGGUCGAGAAGACCCUCAGAAUUUUGGAAGAACAAUUUUAUUGGCCUAGAAUGCACAAGGAUGUGGACCGGAUUUACGGCCAAUGUGUUGAGUGCAAAGGAGCCAAUUCAUGGCUCCAACUUCAUGGGUUGUACACCCCAUUGUACACCCCUUUGCGUCUUUGUCUUGAUAUAUUAAUGGACUUUGUGUUGGGAAUACUAGAAGGGGGCAGGAUAGUAUUUUUGUCGUAGUGGAUCAGUUUUCCAAGAUGGCUCACUUUAUUCCUUGUUCUAAAUGUGAUGAUGCACCUAGUGUAGCCUCUUUGUUUGUUGAUAAUGUUGUAAAACUUCAUUGUGUUCCAAGGACCAUAGUAAGUGAUAGGGAUUCUAAAUUCUUAAGCCACUUUUGGAAGUCCAUGUGGGGUAGACUCAGAACUAAGUUAUUGUUUUCGACUUCAUGUCACCCACAAAUCAAUGGCUAAACGGAAGUAGUAAGUAUGACUUUAGGGUCUAUUCUACGGUCCAUAGUUAAAGGAAAAAUGACUUCUUUAGAGGAGAACUUACCGUUGAUUGAGUUUGCUUAUAAUCGGGUUAUACACUUGAGCACGGGGAUGACACCCUUUGAGUGUGUAUACAGAAUCAACCCCCUCACCCUUUUAGAUUUAACCCCUUUGCCAAGUGAUCUUGUGAUAAGCUUAGAUGGAAGAAAACGGGCCGAGGCCAUGAAGAAGCUACAUAAGAAGGUGAGGUUGUGGUUAGAGAAGAAAAACCAAGAAGUUGCGAGGCGAGCCAACAAAGAAAGAAGAAAGCUCAUUCAUGAUAUUUUGAGAACACAAGACUUGUAAUAUUUUGAACUUCUCUCUUCCAUUGGAGAAGCCCAAAACCAAAAUUCCCAAUUGGAGUGACAAUUGGGUUGAAUCUUGGCUAGAAACUAGGAUCUUGAGGUCAUUGAGUUCCUUUUAGUCCAAGUAAGAGCUUGGUAAUGAAAUUCUUUAGUCUUAGGGUCCUUUCAUGUUGUUAGGGUUCUUAGAUUCUUGAAUAUUGUAUGUCAAGUUACUAUCUUUAAUUUGUAAUCUUGUUGUUUGUGUGGUAACAUAGUGAAGCCGUGUGGGGCCAUUUUUGAUUCACUAUAGUUGCUACCACUUUGUUGCUCUUGUUGUUGUUAUUGUAAUAUUGUAAUCUCUAUCAUCUUGUUAUUUUUUGGUAAACCUUGAAUUCUAGUAAAGCCGUGUGACCUAUUUCGAUUCACUAGCAUUGUUGUUGUUCAUCUUGUUAUUCUUGUGUUGGCUGGACUCUCUUGAUACACACUCACUUUUGUAUCACUUUUGAACUGGGAGAUUGGGUGUGGGUGCACCUAAGGAAGGAUAGAUUCCCGUCUCAAAGGAAUGCUAAGUUGAUGCCAUGGGGUGAUGGACCAUUCCAAGUAUUAGAAAGGAUCAACGACAAUUCCUACAAGAUUGAUCUACCCCUGAAAUAUCAAGUGCACAACACUUUCAACGUGUGUGAUCUCUCUCGGGUCAAAACAGUGAAGGAUGACAAUGAUCUGAAUUUGAGGAAAAAUUUCCUUCAAGAUGGAGAGGAUAAUAUGGGAAUUCCUAGCUCGAGACCUUUCACACGAAGCCAAGCACGUGAGUUCCAACAGCUCCAAGCCUUGUUCAUAUCCUUGGCCAUGUGUGAGGCCCUUGUGAGCCCAUCUAAGGGCCUAUAUUUAAUAAAAUGUGAAGAGGCCAACCAAGACACCCCAAACCCACCCACUUAAAUGCCAAGGGUAUUUUGGUCUUUAUCCCUCCUUUUCUAAGUGACUUUAUAAUCUAUGUAAUAGGGCUAGUCUUGAUUUGGUUGAUUCCUAUUAUUCAAGAAACAAAAGACUUGUAAUUAUUUUGACUUCUCUUUCUCAUUUGGAAAGGCCAAAACCAAAUUCUCACUAGUAGAGUGAUACUAGUGUUGUAUGUUGGCUAGAAACUAAGUUCUUGGGGUUCUUUGAGUUCCUCUUGGUCUAAGUAAGAACUUGGUAUUGAUAUUUAUUAGUCUUGGGGUUCUUUCUCUUUUUAGGGUUCUUAGAUUAAUGAAUAUUAUGUGUCAAGUUUCUAUCUCUUUCUUUGUAAAUCUUGUUAACAUUUUGUUGUUGAAUAUAAAAGUCUAGUGAAGCCAUGUGGGGCUCUUUUGAUUCACUAGCAAUAUCGUCUUUGUUGUUCUUGUUGUUAAUGUCACUUUUCUAGUUCAAACAAGUGUUGUAAACCUAGUGAAGCCGUGUGUGGCCAUUUUUGAUUCACUAGCACUUUGUUGUUCAUCUUGUUGUUCUUGUGUUGGUUGGAAUCUCUUGAUACAAACUUAGCAUUGUAUCACAUCGCCAUAUCAUCAAAACUGCAAGAACGCUCUUACAUGAGGUGUCUCUUCCUCCUAAAUUUUAGUCUUUUGUGUGUCAUCACACGGUCUACCUCAUUAACCGUUUGCCCACCUCUCAACUAGAUAACCAAUCCCCAUUCCAACAUUUACUUGGAAAAUUGCCUGAGUAUAGCUCCCUGCGAAUAUUUGGUUGUUUAUGCUAUCCAUGUCUUAAACCAUACUCCAAAAAUAAACUUGAACCAAAAUCCAUCCCAUGAGCCUAUCUCGAAUUUUCCUUAUCUCAUCAUUGUCACUAAUGUUUUGACCUAAUUUCUGCAAAGGUAUAUUUAUCUCGAGAUGUGCAAUUUAUGGAGAAUGUUUUCCUUUUUAAAACAUUGUUUUCCUUUUUAAAACAUUGUUCUCCAGUAUUGCCCUCAAAUCACCCCACCUAAAAUGGGACAAUAUCACGAUUUCAAAUUCUUCCGCGCCCACACCUAAACUUCCUAUCACUACAGAGCUUCAAUUCCAUUAGAAUUAGAUGCCCAAAAACCUAUAGAGUCUCUCUCAGUAUCUUCUCCUUCUCAUCAGAGUUAUAGGCCAACUCAAACUCACAAUCUGACUCCGAUAGUGAACCAGUGGUGGACACAACUUCUUCUUUUCCUGGUAAAUUUCUAUAACCCUCAUUUUCUACAAUUCCAAUGCUCCCAGAAUCCUCUUCUCACCUAUUUCCCAAUGGAUCAGACCACCAGACCUCCCUAUAAAUAUUACCCAAUAACAUAAACUGCAGCCCGCAUCUCCUCCCCGUUUAUUAUCACAGGAACAAAAUUCCACCUAAUCCUCAACCAGUCCAUCCUAUCUUAAGCCGGAGUUUCUCUCUCACCACGUAAAUAUCCUUCUCCUUCUAAUGGUGUUGUCACCCGAUCCCAAAACAACAUCACUAAACCAAACAAUUUUUUGAUUACCUAGCCAAAGUAAAGAUAUGAAACAGGAACUUGAUGCUUUAAUUAAGAACCAAAAUUGGGAACUUUUUCCUCCUAAACCAACCAAACAUAUUAUUUGCAAGUGGGUUUUCAGGAUCAAAAAGAAUGCAGAUGGGUUUAUUGAUAGAUAUAAAGUGAGGCUAGUUGUGAAAUGAUUCACUUAGAGGUUGGGUAUUAACUCCCAUGCAACUUUUAGUCCAAUCGUAAAGCCUACCACUAUUUGAAUCAUCCUCUCUGUGCUACUUUACCAUAACUGUCACCUUCAUUAGUUGGAUGUCAAUAAUGCGUUCGUUCAAGGCAACCUAGAAGAGGAGGUGUAUAUCGCACAACCUCCAGGAUUCACUAAUGAUGACAAACCAAUGCAUAUAUGUCGUCUGUGCAAGGCAAUCUAUGGCUUAAAACAAACCCCGCGGGCGUGGUACAAUGCUCUCACAAGUUAUCACUCAUCCAUAGGCUUUGUUAAAAUGAAAUCUGAUGCCUCACUGCUCGUCAGACAAGGUCUAAGUGAGACAAUGUUCAUCCUUGAAUAUGUAGAUGACAUUAUUAUCACUGGGAGCAACACUUCAAGUGUCGAUCAGUUUAUUGCUUUCCUUACCUCUAAAUUCUCAAUUAAAGAUUUGGGGAAUCUUCACUACUUUCUUGGUGUUGAAGUGAUACAUAACUAUAAUGGUUUAAUUCUGACCCAAGAAAACUAUGUUAAUGAGAUCCUGAAUGAUGAGUUAAUGAUCGACUGCAAAAGUGUUCCCACAUUAAUGAGUGCAACUGAGUUGCUCACUUAUCUGAUGGUACUCAUUUAAUUGAUGUGACAUUCUAUCGUCGAGUCUUAGGCAGGAUUCAAUACCUAUCUUUAUAUAACACCCCGUAUUUUUCUUGGAUUGAUUCAAAUCUUAGUUGUAUGCAUGAGGAGUUUAAAGCCUGGAAAUUUUUCUAAGUGUUGGGGACUUAGUUAUAUUUUAUGCCUCUUAACUUUGAAGAUUUUUAAAUUGGUCUUCCUGACCCCGAGGCAUUGAUUUUUGAGUUAAUUCAUAUUAGAGUAGUGGGUAUUAUGUCUCGGGGGAGUUUUGUUUUUUCGGACGAGGAUUGGGUCGUUUUUGGAUUUCGGUUCCAGCAGCUCAUCGCGAUAGGACCGCAUAGUGGUGCCUAUAACGAUGGAACACCUACCAUGUUGUGGUGAGCAUCCAAAACACAAUCCUAUAACGGGUUUAAAUGCUUGAUGGGAAACUAUGUCUUUUUUCAUUAAUUCAAUUCGACUAAUCAUGAUUAAUAACGUUAGUUAGGGCACAAAUUGCCCGUCCUCUCCAAUUUUCCCUUAAAUCAAACCAUUCUCUCUUCCCCAAGAACAAGAAUUCUAUCCUUUUUCCCUCAAGUAAGCUCAGUCGAUCAGUACUCUUAGCCUAACAAGCGACAUUCGAGGACGAAUAUUCCCAAGGGAGAUAUUGUAAACCCCAAGAUUCCCAACCGAUAUUAAAACAUGCUUCAAGAUCAUGAGAAAUAAAUUUGAGUGAUUUGGUAGUUUUAUGAUCAAUUUUGAUGUAUAUUAAGGCCUCAAAUACAUCCUAGCUAUUAGUCUACUCAAAACAUUCCUUACCGAUUGAAUUCCUGGGAAGGAUAUUGGUAUAGUCAACUUCAAAUAGGAAUAUCUAUAAUUAUACUAUGAAUUAUUGAUCUCAUGACCUACCAACAUAUAGAUAAUUGAAUUAUAUUUUCAACGAUACCAAUUUUGCCCAAAUCCGAUAUCGGAGCAAAAAGUUAUGCCUAUUUUACUCCAGCAUGUCAGCCUGGAAACUGAGUGACGAGAUUUCUGACGACUUAUCACAUUUUUGAUGACAUUUUUGAUGACUUACCACAUUUCUAACGAAAUUUCUAAUGACUUAUCAUAUUUUUGAUGAAUUUUCAGCUAAUGUCAUUAGCCUUAGGCAGAAACCCAUCAAUUUCAGGUCCUAGGUGACGACCUGGGCUGACGGGCUAUCACAGAUCUAACGGCUUAUCAGCCUUGGUCGUCAGUCUACAAUUUCAGCAACUAGGAAGCGGUUUCGUAGGUGUAUUUUGGACUUUCCCUUCACCUUCAAUGACUUAAAUCAUCAAAAUCACAUACAUAACCAUCAUAGAUCAGUUUUGAAAAACCCUUAAACCCUCUCCACUCUAAAGAAUAACAAAAUUAGGGUUUCCUCUCAAGAUUAUCUCCCAAGAACAAAAUUAAAGCUCUCCUCCAAGAAAACCAUGAAAUUAUCAUUCCCAAUUCAAGAACCUUCAAGAAAAGUCAUUCUCUUUCAAGAUUAAAGCUUUUGAGGUAUGUUAGAUGUUGAUUCUUAGGUUCCUUUCACCCAAGAAGUUCAAGAAUCCUUUUCUAAAUUCAAAAUUAUAUAUUUAUGAGAUUGUCAUGAUUUUUGUAAAUAGAAAUUGUAGUUCAUGUUGUGGAUGAGUUUUAAUUCAUGACUUGAUUUCAAAGAUUCGAGCUUUGAUCCUACUAUGUGAUGUUCAUGAUAAAAUUCCUUCAAGUUGCAUGAUAUUGAUGUAUUCAUGAUAAUUAAGUAUAGAAUCUGUGGUAUAACCAAAGAAUUCUCCCCAUGUGUUUGAUAGAAUGCUUAAGUAAAGAGAAUAGUGCCUUUUUAGUAUGUUAAAUAUGAAAUCCCCAAUUAGGUGAUAACUAGGGCAUGCCAAGCGUUUGUUGAAAUGUCCUAAUGAAUGUAUUAUGAUAAGUUGCAUGCAUUCUUAUCCGUGUGUAUUUCUUAUUGAAUAACUAUGAGAUAUUAGUAUGCAUACCCUAUAUAUUUACAUGUUUAUGACAUUCAAGUGAUUUACGAGAUACUGUAUGGAUUGUAUUGUGAAUGAAAACCCAUUUUCAUGAUAUUCAAGUGUGGUCCUAUCUUAUUUAUUUAUUUAUGCUAUCGAGUCCUGGGGGUAUUUAUACCUGAAAACUUAGCUGCUUGUCUAGAGCCGAGUCAAUCUCAAGAUAAUCUCAGUCAUGCUAUGAUCCGUAGAAUUUAGUUAGUGACAGAACAUUAAGGAAAUUCAGUAAUCUCAAUACUAGUUCAAUCCAGUAUUAGUAUUCAGUCUAAUCAAGCUCAGUACUCAGUUCAGAUUUUAGUAAAGUUUAGUAGUCACAGAACAGUCACAUUCAGACAGAAAGUAGAAUUCAUAAGUAUUCCGUCAGAUAACGGAACCAAGUGAACUCAGUCCGAUAAGUAAAAAAAUAUGGUCAAUAACAGAUUCAGCUCAGUUUAAGUUCAGUUAAGAAUCAGUUCAGAGUCCUUCAGUUGGGAGUAGGACCUAGAACCGAGCGAGUGCAGGGAUGAAGGCUUACCCGUUAGAGAGAUAGAGUCAUUAACAGUAAUCCCUGAACUCCAGAACUGCGUAGCCAGCAUAGGACCAAGAGUCACCCAUUAGAUAAAGGCUUGACUAUCAUACUGCCUUAGGCUUGACUUCCUGUUCAGGGUCACCCGUUAGAGAGGCUUAACCAUAGCAGAGAUCUUUACCUAUGGCACGGUAUUGGCACCCUUCCAGCUGGGGUUAUAGGUUGGACCCCACUAGAUUAGAUUUGGGGCAUAUCAGUUAAGUGAGAACUCCCACAGUUACAGCCACAAUUUCAUUCUCAAUCUUUAUAAUAGAAAUUCAGAAAUUCAGGACUGUCAGAUACAAUCACUCAGCUCAGUAAGGAACUUAGAUAGUUCCACAGAUUCAUAGGCCACCCACUAGAUAGGCUUGAUCUCAAAUUUCUUCAAUUAUUAUUCUUAUCAGUAUGCUCAAAGAUCACCCGCUAGAUAGGCCUGAUCUCAAUCUCAGUUAAUCAUUAUCCUUAUCAGCAGAUUCAGAGAUCAACCACUAGAUAGGCUUGAUCUCAAAUUUCUUCAAUUAUUAUUCUUAUCAGUAUGCUCAAAGAUCACCCGCUAGAUAGGCCUGAUCUCUGAUACAGUCAAUUUGCAUCAGUAAACUCAGAUUUCAAUUUCAGUAGCUUUGGAUACUCAAAAUUUUAGUAUGUUCAAAAACCUUAGAUUGAUAGUAUAUUCAGUAUCAGUUAUCAGAUUCAGGCCCAGUAUGCACAGUAUGUUCAGUAGUUACAGAUUCUCUAUGUAUACUAGUCCAGCUCUUGCAUAUCAUUCAGUUAGUUAUUGAUCAUGCAUAUAACCCUUGUAUUUAGCCUUACCUUAUCUAGCAUACCAGUAUAUUCAAAGUACUGACACAUACUUUUCUCUUACGCUAUGGUGUCUUAUACCAUAGGUUCAGAAGUGUGAGAUCCAGAGCACCCUUAGCAGUCCAGACUUAGCCAAAAGCAGUAGAAGUAGCAGUGAGUCCUCUUCAUUCGAGGAUGAUCCUUAUUUUAUUAUGGAAUUAGACUUAGUUUAUUUUCAGCAGGCAGAGUUAGUUGGGGACAUGUCCCAUCAACUCCACAGUUCAGAGAGUUUAGAGGCUUUCAGGCUACAGUGUUUUCAGACAGAUGUAUAAGUAUUCAGUUUUCAGAUUUGUGCAUUUUAGAUGUUUUCAACCUUAUGGCAAGUUUUCACCAGUUUCAGCAUUUAUUUUAUUAUAUUAUGCAGUGCUGAGGUAUAGAUAUCAGAAAAGGGUUAGCUUGUGGUCCUUCGGGAUCAUGAACACCGUGUGGAAUUUUGAUUAUAGAAAAUUGGGGCGUUAUACUUAUUCUAUCCGAAUCAUAACAAACUGGUAUUAGAGCCAUUUUUGAUUGUUUUCUCGGGGAUGGAAAACAUGAACUAUGAUAUUCCACUGUUGGAUCAUAACACCAGAUUUUUGUUAUGGUAGGUUAAGAUACGGGCUAUGAUCGUGCAAAUAGAUUUGGACAAUGCUCUAUUAGGGUUUGAUAAGAUGCCCUUAUCGUGGAUGGAUAAGGAAAAUUGGCAUAAGGAUCAGAAGGCUCUAUUUUAGAUCCACCUUCAUUUAUUCAAUUAGAUUCUAUAGGAUGUUUUGAAGGAGACCACUGUCGCUGCGUUGUGGUUGAAACUGGAAUCAUUGUGUAUGACAAAAUGCCUAAUAAGUAAGUUACAUCUCAAAUAAUGACUUUAUUCCCAUCGCAUGUCUGAGGGUGCAUCCUUGGAGGAUCAUGUAUCUAUCUUUAAAGAAAUUGUCUCUAAUUUAGAGACUCUAGAGGUUAAGUAUGAUAAAGAAGAUUUAGCGUUAAUUUUGUUGUGUUUGCUUCCUGAAUCAUACAUGACCUUUAUGGAUACGAUUUUAUAUAGUCGUGAUACCCUAUCCAUAUAUGAAGUCUAUGAUGCAUUAUUCUCUAAGGAGAAGAUAAAACAUCUUGUGAAUGGGUGGAGACUCAAAAAGAUAGUAUCAUUUUUUGAGGGAGGACUCAUGAGAGAAAUUCUGAGGGUGAUGAUAGAAAUAGGUCAAAAUCCAGAAAUAGAAACAAAACCUAUAAUUACCACAAGAAGAAGGGCUAUAUCAAAUCCGAGUGUUAUAAGUUAUAGAAUAGAGAGAAAAAAAAGAUCCAAAAUUAAAAGGACACCAACCAGAAAAGUCCUGUGAAGCCAGUUUUUUUGAUGAUGGUGGUGGUGAUGGAGAACUCUUGGUAGUUUUUGAUGGUAAUUCCAAACCUUGUGAGUAUUAGAUUCUUGAUUCAGCUUGCACGUUUCAUAUGUGUCGCAAUCGGGAUUGGUUUACAACAUAUGAAACAGUCUCUAAAGGUGCUGUGCUGAUAGGAAAUAACACACUUUGUAAGAUAGCUGGUAUUGGAAUAAUUAGAAUUAAAAUGUUUGAUGGGGUUGUAAGGAUACUUGGUGAUGUGCGGUAUGUCCUGAAGAGAAAUUUUAUUUCCUUGUGUACCCUUGAUUCGAACGGAUAUAGGUACACUGGUGACGGUGGAGUCCAAAAGGUUACUAAAGGUGCUCUUGUUGUGAUAAAGUGAUAGAGAAAUACUGCAAAUUUUUAUGUCUUGCAAGGCUCUACGAUUAUAGGUGAUGCAACUGUUCCUACCUCCUCUCUAUUAGAAAGUAACGUUGCUAAACUUUGGCAUAUGCACCUGGGCCAUAUAAGUGAAAAUGGGAUAGCUAAACUAAGUAGGAGAGGGCUUCUUGAUGGGUAGAUUAUUACUAAAUUGACGUUUUGUGAGCACUGUAUUUUUGGGAAGCAGAAAAGAGUUAGCUUCAUUAAAGUCAUCCACUCAACUAAAGGCACACUUGAUUACAUUCAUUCUGAUCUCUUGGGUCCUUAUAGAGUACUUUCUAGAGGAGGUGAUAAUAACUUGUUGACUCUUAUUGAUGACUAUUCUAGAAAAGUUUGGGUGUUCUUCCUAAAGUAAAAGAAUGAUGUGUUGCCUACUUUAAAAGUGUGGAAGACUAUUAUUGAAAAGCAAAUAGGGAAGCGAGUAAAACGCCUUCAGACUGAUAAUGGUUUAGAGUUCUAUUCUAAUGAUUUUAAUGCUCUAUUCAAGUUAUAAGGAAUUGUGAGUCACUUAACAGUUUGUCAUACUCCGCAGCAGAAUAGUAUGGCUGAAUGAAUGAAUAGGACUAUAAUAGAGAGGGUGCGUUGUAUGGUCUCUAAUGCUGGUUUACCCAAGUCUUUUUAGGCCGAAUCUGCUUUCACAACUUGUCUUCUUAUUAACUACUCUCCGUCAGUUGCGAUUAAUAAAAGACUCCACAAGAGGUAUGGUCUGGUACUCCUGCUAGUAAUUCUGAUUUGAGGAUAUGUAGAUGUCCUUCUUAUGCUCAUAUUGAUAAUGAAAAGUUAGAACCUAGAUCUAUCAAGUGCUUAUUUAUAGGUUAUAAGCCUGAUGUUAAAGGUUAUAAGCUUUGGUGUCCAGAAAAUAGAAAGGUUAUAAUUAGUAGGGAUGUUGUGAUUGAUGAAACUGCCAUGCUUCGGGAUCUCUCUGAAUCUAGUGCUUUACCCCAGAUGAGUAUAGUGAUAUGAAUCAGAAAAAGUCAAGCACCCACAUUGAAUUGCAGAUUGGAGAAGAGUCUACACCUGUUCCUAUUUCUCAGUCUAGCCCAGAGAUACAGAGUGGUACUAUUUCUUCUUUACCACCAGUGAUACCACAAUAUUCUAUUGCUAAAGGCAGGCCUAGAAGAGAUAUUAUACCUCCUUAAAAUUAUGUUGAAGCUGAUUUGGUUUCUUAUUCAUUGAAUGUAGCAGAAGGUAUUGAUUCUGGUGAAGAUCCUUCUUCUUACUCAGAGGCAGUUUGUGAUGAUGAUUCCAACCGAUGAAUGAUUGUUAUGCUGGAGGAGAUGGAAUCACUUCAUAAGAAUGUCAUAUGGGAUCUGGUGAGAUUUCCUAACAAUAAAAAACUAUCCAUUUCAAGUGGAUAUUUAAAAAGAAAGAAGAAACAUUGGGAGUUAAAGAUGCUAGGUACGAAGCAAGACUAGUUGCUAAAAGAUACAGUCAAGUUCCAGGUAUUAACUUCACAAAUGUGUUUUCUCCAGUUGAAAAGCAUAGUUCGAUUCGAGCCUUGCUUUGUAUUGUGGCCAUGCAUAAUUUGAGCUUGAGCAGUUGGAUAUCAAAACUGCAUUCUUACAUGGAGAACUUGACGAGGACAUCUAUAUAUAGCAACCAUAGGGCUUUAUAGUUUCAAGAAAGGAGGACUAUGUAUGCUUGCUGAAAAAGUCUCUUUAUAGCUUAAAACAGUCGCCCAGACAGUGGUAUAAGAGGAUUGACUCUUUUAUGACCUCUUAUAUGUUUUGGAGGAGUAGUUAUGAUAUCAUGUCUACUUCAUAAAGGUAAGUGAUGGUUUGUUCGUGUAUCUUCUCUUGUAUGUUGAUGAUAUAUUGAUUGCAACAAAGGAUAUGAGAGAGAUAAUAAAAAUCAAAGCCCAGCUCAACAAGGAGUUUGAGAUGAAGGAUCUAGGAGCAGCAAAAAAGAUUCUUGGCAUGGAAAUUAUGAGGGAUAGAGAGAAGUGUAAGUUAUACUUAAGUCAGAAAAAGUAUAUUGAGAAAGUGAUUCACAGGUUCAAUAUACAAAAUGCCAAGCGUGUCAGUACUCCAUGGAAGCUCACUUUAAACUCUCGACCACUUUAUCUCCAAAGAUAGAUGAUGAGCGUGAUUAUAUGUCUCGAGUUCCAUACUAUAGUGCCUUCGGGUCUCUUAUGUAUACGAUGGUGUGUUCCCGACCAGAUUUAUCAUAUGUUGUCCGUGCAAUUAGCAGAUAUAAGGAAAAUCUUGUUGGAAAGCACUUCAGUGGAGUUUUAGAUACUUUCAUGGAUCUGCUGAUGUUUGUUUGUACUUUGGGCGAAAUAGAGAUAGAGUAAUCGGGUAUGUUGAUUCUAAUUUUGUACAAGACCAUGAUAAAAGGAGAUCCCUUUCAGUCUAUGUUUUCACUAUUGGUGGUUGUGCUAUCAGUUGAAAAGCUACUUUACAGACUACGGUUGCUUUGUCAACUACUGAGGCAGAGUACAUGGCUAUUAUAGAGGCUUUCAAAGAAGCUAUUUGGUUGAAGGGUUUAUUUGGUGAACUUAGCAAGGACUUAUAGAUUACUACAGUCUUUUGUGACGGUUAGAGUGCUAUCUUCCUUAAGAAAGAUUAGAUAUUUCACGAGAGGGCGAAGCAAAUCGAUGUUCAGUAUCAUUUUGUGCGUGAAAUUAUUGCUCGUGGUGAUAUUGUGGUAAGAAAGAUUAGUACCCAUAAUAACCCUACUGAUAUGAUGACUAAGAUACUACCAAGGGCUAAGUUUGAGGAUUGCUUGGACUUGGUUGGUGUUAGCUGUUAAGAUUUGGCCUUAGGGGCUUUUAUGGAAGAGGUGGAGAGUUUGUCUUGAAAUGGAUUUGAGUUUUGAAUUAGAAUUCAUGUCAAGGUGGAUAUUGUUAGAGUUGUGACCCGAAUUUUGUUGGUCUGGCCUUAAAGUUUCACGGUGCGACCCAUGUUUGUGAUUUUCAAUGGGGUCUGAUUUGUUGCUUUUUUUUUCUGGUGUGUUUCCUAGUUUUUUGUCAAGCAAAAGUUUUGGAUUUUUCAGAGCUUGUAAGCUAUAAAAAGUAGAGACUUCCAGUUAAUAAAAGUACAAACUUCUAAAAGAAAUUUCCUUCAUCAUAUUUGCGCAACUCAUACGUUUUUAAUCAUUGAUUGCGAUUGUUAUCUAAUCUCUGGAUUUUAUUGUAAAACUUCAUGUAUUCAUUAAGCGCGCAUUAUAUAGUCUACUACUGCACAGGUUUUAUCAUAUCUGUUCAAAUUAAAAGGGAUUGAUGAAUCAUACCAAAUCUGUUUUAUUUAAUUUGAUGUUCAUUAUAGAUGUCAAAUUAGCCAGAGCAGUGGGUCACGCAGCCCUUUUAUCUCUUUCUUUUAUAUUUUUAGUAAAGUGGAUGCUUUUAAUUCAUGUACUUGUCCUUCUUCCUUCCGUGCUGACUUAGAUGGAUUUGUGUGCAUUAAUUGCGACCAUCUUUCAGUCUGUUGUACAACUAUAAGAUGGUGAGAGGAAAUUGCUUGAAAAUAUAUAAUGCGUUAGAAAAUUAGUAGUAACACUGUUAGUUUUGACUUUAUGAAGUUAAAGAAAUAACAGAGAAACACUUGGAGUGAAACAAAUACCUGCAAUUGUAUUGUCAAAGGAAUUAUUUUCUUAAUAACUCAAAAAGACAUAUAUUUAUAGCUAAAUUUCUAAUUAGAAAAUAUAAAAAUAAUCAAUUCAAAUAAUUCCUAAGUUUAAGUCACACAAAACUCUAAUAAUUUAAAACUGCUAACAGAUAUCUACUUUAUUUCUGAGACAUAUAUUCAACACUCCUCCUUGGAUCAAAAAUUAUAGAUUGUAGUCUUGGCUAAAUUUGACCUCUUGAAUAAAUCUGCCAACUUGUAAAAUGUCAUGAUUAGUGAAAUCAAAGAUUCGACAAUAUUUGUCUCCAAAUAAUAAUUUAAAUUCUUCUUUCAUUAGCUGACCAACACUUAGCAAACUUUUAUCAAUAUCAGGCACGUAAAGGACAUUUAAAAUUAUUUUUGUACCUGAAAUUAUUUUGAUUGCAACAUUUUAUUUUCUUCUGCAAGAAUAUAGUCACCAUUCCCAAUUCUGACUUUCUUAUUUUCCAAAGGCAGAAACUCUUUAGAAAAAGUUUUGUCACAUGGCAUGUGGUUUGUACAACCACUGUUAAUCAUCCAAAAAUCAGAUUUCUUGAUUGAAAAAUAUAUUGCCACAAAUAAGUGAUAUUCUUCUUCUUCUUUGGUGACUUGGACAUCUGCUUCAUAUUUUUGAGAUUUGUUUUUGCAAAUCACAGCUUCAUGACCAAUCUGAUUAUAGAUCAUGCAUUGUGCAUCUGGUCUCUUUUAAUAUUUAAAUGGAGAACGAUCUAUUUUGCCACAAUGCUGGCAAGGUGGGUAGUUUUUCUCUUGAAUUAUUACCCUUGCUUUGAGUCUUGUGGUUGGCUGCCAAGUCUCCUUCAACCAUGCUUUAUAAGCCUCUUUUUCUCUUGUGCCUACAAUGUAUAUAAGAAUUCUGUCAAGGUAAUCUUGGACAGGUCUUUUAUAUUUUUCAAGGUAGUUAUUGAUACUACGUAUCUUUCAGGCACUGUAACAAAUUUUUUUCAACAAUUCUUGAAUCUUUAAAUUUUGUGCCAAACAAUCUUACCUUUUACCAAUGUUAAAAAGUCUGUCUGAGUAUUCUUUGACGGUCUCAAAUUCCUUCAUCUUUUGCAAUACGGAUUUCCCUAUUAGAUUCAAUACCUUCCUGCCUCAUAUUCUUUCAUCUCCUGUAUAUUCUUCCUUUAGAUAAUUUCAAAUUUCUUUUGAUGAUUUAAGAGACAUAAUUCUCAUAAAAAUUAUUGGAGAUUCACUAGCAAAUAAAGUUGCUUUUGCCUUUGAUUUUAUGAUUUUUCUUAUGACUUUUGAUCUGAACUACCAUGCAAUUAUUGUGCAGUGGAGGAACAUCAUAAUCCUCAUCCAUGGCCAAAGAUGUAAAACCUCAAGAUAAGUUUUCAUUUUUACUUUCCAAAGGUUGUAAUUCUCACCAUCAAAGACAGGAUGAUUUAUUUGAGAAAAGUUGUUUUCAAAAUUCAUCUUACUCACAGAUCUCUCGAGAAAAUAACUCUGAUACCAAUUGUUGAUUUUUGGGUUUGAAAUUAAAAAAAAUAACAAAAAAGACUUGGAGGGAAAAAAAUAACUCAAUUGUAUUGUCAAAGAGAAUUGUUUUAUUAAUAACUUAAAGUCAUAUAUUUGUAUCUAAAUUUCUAAAUAUAAAAUAUAAAAAUAAUCAACUAGACCUCAAUUAUUUAAAUUCAAAUAACAAAUAGAUAACUAAUUUCUAAGUUUAAGUCACAUAAAACUCUAAAAAUUUAAAACUACUUACAAUUAUCUAUUUUAUUUCGGAGACAUAUUUCAACAAAUUCAGAUGGCUAGCCAGUUAUUGGCCAACACUUAACAAACUUUUAUCAAUAUCGGGCACGUAAACGACAUUUGAAAUUAUUUUUGUACCUGAAAUUGUUUUGAUUGCAACCUUCCCUUUUCCUUCUGCACGAAUAUAGUAACCAUUUCGUAUUCUGAUUUUCUUAUUUUCCAAAGGCAGAAACUCUUUAGAAAAAGUUUUGUCACAUGGCAUGUGGUUUGUACAACCACUGUUAAUCAUCCAAAAAUCAGAUUUCUUGAUUGAAAAAUAUAUUGCCACAAAUAAGUGAUAUUCUUCUUCUUCUUUGGUGACUUGGACAUCUGCUUCAUAUUUUUGAGAUUUGUUUUUGCAAAUCACAGCUUCAUGACCAAUCUGAUUAUAGAUCAUGCAUUGUGCAUCUGGUCUCUUUUAAUAUUUAAAUGGAGAACGAUCUAUUUUGCCACAAUGCUGGCAAGGUGGGUAGUUUUUCUCUUGAAUUAUUACCCUUGCUUUGAGUCUUGUGGUUGGCUGCCAAGUCUCCUUCAACCAUGCUUUAUAAGCCUCUUUUUCUCUUGUGCCUACAAUGUAUAUAAGAAUUCUGUCAAGGUAAUCUUGGACAGGUCUUUUAUAUUUUUCAAGGUAGUUAUUGAUACUACGUAUCUUUCAGGCACUGUAACAAAUUUUUUUCAACAAUUCUUGAAUCUUUAAAUUUUGUGCCAAACAAUCUUACCUUUUACCAAUGUUAAAAAGUCUGUCUGAGUAUUCUUUGACGGUCUCAAAUUCCUUCAUCUUUUGCAAUACGGAUUUCCCUAUUAGAUUCAAUACCUUCCUGCCUCAUAUUCUUUCAUCUCCUGUAUAUUCUUCCUUUAGAUAAUUUCAAAUUUCUUUUGAUGAUUUAAGAGACAUAAUUCUCAUAAAAAUUAUUGGAGAUUCACUAGCAAAUAAAGUUGCUUUUGCCUUUGAUUUUAUGAUUUUUCUUAUGACUUUUGAUCUGAACUACCAUGCAAUUAUUGUGCAGUGGAGGAACAUCAUAAUCCUCAUCCAUGGCCAAAGAUGUAAAACCUCAAGAUAAGUUUUCAUUUUUACUUUCCAAAGGUUGUAAUUCUCACCAUCAAAGACAGGAUGAUUUAUUUGAGAAAAGUUGUUUUCAAAAUUCAUCUUACUCACAGAUCUCUCGAGAAAAUAACUCUGAUACCAAUUGUUGAUUUUUGGGUUUGAAAUUAAAAAAAAUAACAAAAAAGACUUGGAGGGAAAAAAAUAACUCAAUUGUAUUGUCAAAGAGAAUUGUUUUAUUAAUAACUUAAAGUCAUAUAUUUGUAUCUAAAUUUCUAAAUAUAAAAUAUAAAAAUAAUCAACUAGACCUCAAUUAUUUAAAUUCAAAUAACAAAUAGAUAACUAAUUUCUAAGUUUAAGUCACAUAAAACUCUAAAAAUUUAAAACUACUUACAAUUAUCUAUUUUAUUUCGGAGACAUAUUUCAACAAAUUCAGAUGGCUAGCCAGUUAUUAGCUACCAAUAUAUUCUAUGUGUGGGGACUGACAUCAAAGCUUUUGCUCAAUCGAAUGGAUUGAUUUGAGUAUUUCAACUUCAGAAUUUAAUUAGUAAUUCACCGUUGUGUUCAUUUUAGCUCAAGUAGGAAUGCUCAUACAUAUCAUUAGCAUGACACAAUUUAUUUUCUACGCUUUUGAUGUUAUUUAGCCGUUACUAAUUUCUCGAGAAUCAAUGUAAGACUUAAAAUUACUAAACUAUCACAUACCCGCUAAAACUCUAGGCGUUAUUAGGGCUUGGGCAAUUGGAAGAGACCCUAUGUCUUGGGGAAACCUAGAGGAGCCGUGUUCACGCUAUGCUCUAGUUAGUUAUUGCUAGUGUUUUCUCUAUAUAUUUUCAAGGUAAGUGUACUAGUCUACUCCUUUUUUUAGGGGAGGGUGGGUUGUUUUGUACAUCUCUUUCAUGUUUUUGCUUGCAUUGUUUCUUACUUUAACAUGUUUCACACAUAUAGCAAAGUUGAUUUUAAACAGUCACCUUAUAAAAAUUAGUCAUAAUACAUAAGCUUGUCCUUUAACUUGGCAUUAGUUUACAUUUAUAACCUUCAAUUUUUGAUGUGCACGAGUAGACACUUAAACUUAUAUAAAGUUAAACAAGUAGACACGUGCAUCCUAUACGGUAUAAUACAUGCAGGAUGACAUAUAGGACAUGAAUUGGCUACGUAGGAUGCCAUAUAAGAUGCAUCUAUCUUCUUUUUCAACUUUAUACAAGUUUAAGUGCCUACUUGUAUACAUUCAAAGUUGGAGGGCAUAGAUAAAGGUCGAAGUCAAGUUAAAGGACACAUUUAUAAGUCGUGUGAAUUAAUAUUGUUUGUUGGAGUCUAUUGAUACAAGUCAAAUGGCCGCCGUAGCUUUUGAUGAAAUCUUUGGAGGCCAACACCUAAAGGUUCAAGACUUGGUCAUCGCGAGAGCACAAAGAAAUGCAAGGAAGGCCCAUUUUGAGCUUGACUUAAAGAAAUCCCACGUGUGGAAGGUUUCUUGGAUGCUUACAUUGUUGUUAACCCAAGAACCACAAGCCUUGAAGUAUAAACCAUCCUCGAUUUUGAGGGCAUUGAAGAGGCGUCAUUCAUUCAAGUCUAACACACCUUGGCCACCCCUUCAUUAAGGGUAUUUUGGACAUUGAACAUGGUGUAUUUAAAUACCAUGUCCGCCCCUCUCAUUGAGGACAAAGUGGUCUCUUUGUCUUCUUUUGUAAUAUACUAUAAGUAGGACUUUUUAGGUCUUCUCUCAUUAGUUGUUUAGUGAAGAAAAUAUGAGAAAUUGAAAAUCCUCUCUCUUGAGAGUAGACCACCUUAGUGUAGUUCUUAGUUAGGUCUUUGAUUAGCCAUUGUAGUUUAGGGCUUGAAAAAGCCAAUAUUGUGCUUUGCUUGGAAACGGUAGAUCUUGAGGUGAGUUGAUUCCCUUGGCGGUCACCGAAAGAACUUGGUUCUUGUUAAUGUAUUUUGUAGAGGUUUUAGAGUUUAAUAUACUCUUUAGUUGCUACAUUAUGUGUUCUCUUUGUGUCAAGUUACCUAUCUUCUUUUUCAUUUAAGUUUAUGUUUGUUGUUGCCGUUUGGUGUCUUGUCGUGUGGACUGUUUUACACAGAUUGUGGACUGUUUUUUGCUCAUUUAGAUACCGUUUGGUAUCAUCUAUGAAGUCUCGAUGAAUUACAAAAUUAAUGAAACAUGCUGACUUAGCCGGUUCAUCAGUUACACAGGCGAAAGCUAUUGGGCUUACCAAAAGAAUCAUGGGUGCAACAUGAAAAGUUGAAGACAAGUUGCCAAAUUGUAGUAAUGGAUAAACCAAUACAAUUGAUAAACUCAAAGCAAUCAUCAUGUGUGAAAUUGAAGAAUUUUAGUUUGAUUACAACACAUGAAGAGAAGAGAGAUUGAGUUGAAGAAGCAGUUUGAAGUCGAUCACACACUUACAAAGAAAAAAGGCAAUUGACAAAUUGACUUGGCUGUUUAUAGCUUGAAGAUUUGGAGGAACACAGAGAUGGAUCCGGUUCUAAUACUUAGGAGGUUGAGGAGUCUUAGUUUCUAUGUAUUAAGUUUGGUUCUUGAGUUAUAAUCUUGAUGUAGUUCUAGGUUCAGUGAAGUAUAAACUGAAUUAGGAUUAUUGUCUUCAAGUUGGAGAACUCGCAGACUUGGGAUCACAUACUUUUUGAGGUUUGUGUGCUUUGUUUGAUUAGGAGUUAGAAGUUAUAAUUUCUAGAUUACAUAAGUAUUGUAAUUAGUUGUUUGCUGAGGAUCAAGGUUGUUUAGUGAAGUUUGGGGUAAAAUCCUGUAGAGGUAUAGGCCGUAGUUUUUCACACCUUUUUGAACAGUUUUUUUUAAAAGUAAAAAUCAUUGUCUCAUUUAUUUAUACAGUUUAUCGCGUAGUUGAAACAGUUAGGCAACUUGUUUCUUUCAUAGUUUACUCUAAAUAUAAGUAAAUAAGUAGGUCACAUAUUCUAUCAUUAUUGAGGAUACACGAGUGCUAGAAAAUAAAAGAUUGUAAAGUUCUUGUUGUUGACCUGCCAUGGAAUGAGUGUUAUAGCUGUGACUAUUGACUAUGAUAGUGACAGGUGAGCCCAACUUGUUCCCUAGUUUGCAGCAACUUUGUCAUCAUAAGACUCCGGAAACAGGUUCCAACAUACAACUUACAUACAAUUUGUCAAUCAUCAAAACUAAGAACUUAACAUUCUCAUUGCAAAUCACACGUGUAGUUGAGAGCCUUGUUACAAUUGGUCAAUCAUCAAAACUAAGAACUUAACAUUCUCAUUGCGAAUCACACAUAUAGUUGAGAGCCUUGUUGGAGGUGAAACUGGAGCUAUCAUAUUCAUUGCUCGUAGCGAACAAGGUAAUGUCAAUCUUCGUUUUCUCUUUUCUCUUGUUGCCUAAACAAAAGCUCAUUUUUUAUAAGCUGACUGCAGUCCAAGUCCUGGAUUGGUCCAUCUGGUCUCCACUAUCAAGGAACAAUAACAUAACAAUAGUCACAAAUUUGAUUGCUAUUAGCAUAAUACCUAUUGCUUGUGAUAGCUCUGACUUUGUCAUGUAGUUGACUUGAUGGAGCCAGGUAACAUCCUACUUCUUUAUGGUGCAAAAAUCCAAAUGUAUCGAGGUUUUAUGAGGUUAGCUGUUGAGCAUCGAGCACAAAUGAUAAUCGCAUAACCUGUGGAAUUUGUAGUAAAUGAAGAUUGCAAUAAGUCUUAUGAUGAGCAUGAGGUAAUCCCAAAAUAUGACGAUGAAGAAAGAACUCAACACUAUUCAUCACCUUAGACCUGCAAGAUGUCUCUACCUCAAGAAUGCCUUGGUGUAUAUGUUUUGUAUUUUCUCGACACAGAAGCUCACUGUAUCAGCUGAUUGCCGAAUUUCAAUGGUAAAGCUUCAAAUUUUGCAUGUUGUUCUCAGCCUUAGCAAUGCACUUCCUCCAUCAUGUCAUUCUCAUAUCACUUUUAGUUAGAAAAUUUUGGUGGUUUAUGUGUAUCAAAUGUAAAUCAAAGGACUUAAAUCUUCAUUUUGUUUAAUAUGAAAUGAUAAUUGAGAGGGCGUCAAUUGGAGAAGAACGUUUCAAGUCGUGGUUCUUCGACGGGGUGUCUUAGGACAAGAAAGAUCCACUUGAAGUACUCCCUCCAUUUCGUAUUAGUUGACUUGACACAUCCAUUAAGAAAAAUAUUUAUUAGGGGUCUAUUUUACCAAAUUAACCUUAUUAAUUAUGCUUUGAAAAUAUAAAUUUGAACAUAUACAACUUGUUUAAUCAUUUAAUGAUAAGGACAUUAUUGGAAGACCAUAUUAAAAUUCUCUUGAUUUCAUCAAUGUGACAACUAAAUUGAAACAAAUAUUUUUAUGAAGAGGAUCAACUAAAAUAAAACGGAGGGAGUAAUAAGCAUGCACAAGGUCUAAAUUUUGCGGGUACUUUAUAAAGCUCUAAUAAUUGGUUUGAAAUUUCGAAGUAGUAAUUGUUACUCCCUCAAUUCUUGUACAAUUGCUCUUUUGGGUGGUGAUUUUAUUUCUAAAUAAAUGCAUGUUUAAGCUUUUAAGAACAUUGUGAUCAUAAUCACCCUUGAGUUUAAAUAUAGUAAUCAAUGUCAAUCAGAAAAGAGAUAAAAUUUAAUUAGAAAUAAGUUGGUAAAGUUAUUUUUAAUUUUUUAAAAGCGCGUAGCUUAUUAAUGAAUGUGCUAAAGUAAAAUGGAACACUUAUUUAAAAAUAAAGAAAGUAUUUUUUUUUUUGGACUACUUUAAUGAAUGGUCAUUUUACUGUAUUAAAAGAUUUAAAUUAUUUUUGUAAUGUAAAAGCUUAAACAUGUGUUUUUUAUGGUAUAGUAUUCAAGAAAAGUUUAAACAUGUGUUUUUUUUGUGGUAUAGUAUUACUCUAUAUUGGUUGAAAAUUUUGAAUGCAUGCCGGGGUAGGUGUAACACCCCGUACCUUCAGGCUAGAAUUUAAAACGUUGUCCCUAUGCGUAUAGAUCCAAACUAAAUGAUUCCAGGUUAAUAUCUGUGUGAUGAUAAAUCUUAUAGUGCGGGAAUACCUUUGAAUAUGAAUUGAGGUCACCAAAAUUCCCUAACUCUAAGACGAGUUGAAAACAUUUCUAUAGAUUAAGUUUUAGUGGACGUUUUAACUUUGGUCAAAUUCCAAGGAUCAUUACUCCUAGAAUAUGAUGAGUUAGAGGGUCUACUAUAUAUCAAAUUAAAGCCCUUCGAAUCUUCUUUCCAACUUCACUGACCGUUUGUACAUCCGAGUCCGGAUUCAAAAGUUAUGAGUGUUUGAAUGAGACACUAUCCAUACUAUGCGAUGGGGCAUGCGACGCCCACUUAAGGCUAUGCCAUGGGUUGUGCGUCGCCCAGUUUGUCUUCUUCCAUGGGAUGUGCGUCACCCACCUUGGGAAAAAUGGUGUAAAAGCUCCAUUUUAGUGUUAUUUAAGGGCAAUACGAUCCUUUCACGUCCCAUAAUAGUCCCUAAACACCUAUAGACAAAUUACAACCCUAAUGUACGUUAUUUCCUCCUCAAAAAACCUUAAUUCAUCUUCUAAGACACAAGAGGGGAAAAUCAACUUAGGAUUUGCUCUUUCAAACUUAAAGGUUUGAUUUUUUCACGAAUUCUUCGUCAAUUAAGGUACGUAGGGCUGUCCUAAUAACUCCAUGGGCAUGAGUUAUUGAUUUAUAAAGUUUUGAAAGGAUAUUACGAUGUUUACAAAAGGGUUUUGAAUAAUUGUUUGAAUAGCCGAAUCAUGAAAUCCUUUUCAGUGAUAUAAUGUUUUGGUCUUGAGGCCUUCCCCUAAACUUGAUUUUGGUCUUAUAUAUGUAUGUAUGCGGUUUGAGUUUGAAAGUUGAAUUGAGAGCCUGAAUAUUUAUACUCCCUCUCUUGUUAUGACAUCGCUCGAUUUUCACGAGUUAUGAAUUGAUGAAUUUCAUAUUUAGAAGCAUGGCAUAAACGUUUUUGACUAUUGUUUAAGGCUUGAAAUUGAUUAUAAACUGAAGAGAGGGUGUUAUCUUGUUUGUAAAUAUUAAAGAUGAUUAUUGAAAGAAUUGCAUGGUCUGCUACGAAGUAAAUUAACCACCAUUUGUUGAAAUGUUGAAAAGAGAGAAUCUUUGCAUAGUUUGACAUACGUCUUGAAAUAUGAAUCCUCUUGUACUGUUUGAAUAUUUUGGUGGUCUGAACAUUGUUUUGAAUGAAAGAACCGUAAUACUAAUGUAUGGCAGAGAUGUAUGACUUGCAAGUCUUGAACAAACUAAAAAUACAAAUUUUACUCAAAUUUUUAGAUUUUGAAUUCAGAAAGAUGCAUAUUUAGAAAAGGUCAAAAAUGGGUUUGAAUGGAGUUAGAUGGUUACCCAGAGAAAGUACGAGUUGAAAAACUUAACGCUAGAAACCGUGAUUUGCCGAUACGGGAUUAUGGUACCAUGCUUUGUGGUCUUGUGUACCUUGAUUUAUGUCGUCCUAAUUUGGGACUAUGGUUAUGAUCCAUGCUUUGUGGUCUUGUUCACUACCAUGACAUGUUGAUUUGAUUGGGGAUCAUGGCACCAUGCUGUGUGGUCUUGUGUGUCUCCCUUUACUGAUACUCCAAUCCAUGCGGCAAACUUGGAUUGGGGGCUUGGCCGCUGAGUCAAGGGCGGAUUUCAUAUAGCCCGUAGAAUUACAGAUUUGUAGGGUGUCCCAUCUAGCUCAAGUGAAAUAAAGAGUAGAGUCAUGAUUUCAAGAAAUGUGUUUUGAAAUUUAUCAAAUUAAGCCCAUGUAUUUUCUAAUGUUUCAAGAUGACAUGUUUUUAUGAAAUGCUCUCACCUAUGUUGUAUAAAAAUGUAUUUUGUUUUUGGAUUGUUCUAAGUACCAGUACAUUUGUAUUGACCCCUUACAUUUCAGGAUCUGAUGAUCAAUCCCGGGGUCCCGCUAAACUGUAGACCAUUAUCAGAUGAUUGGAGUUGGUGAGCCUCCCUUGUUUCAGAAGGCCUUAUCUUAUGAUUUCAUUAUUUUUAGUUCAUGGUCCAACCGGGGGCCUUGUCCCAGUCUUCCAACAGAUGUUUUCUUUCAGUUAGUAGAGAUUUUGCUGACAGGUAUUAGAUGGAUUUGGGUGUUAUUGAAAUUAUAACUGUAUGGUUUUGUUGAGAUCAAAUGACCAUGAUUCCGUUUUGUAUUUCCGAAUAUAUAUAGUUUAUGAAUUAUGCAUAUGAUUUCCAGAUAGAAGGGCUCUUGGGCCUUCAUGGUUUGGCAUUUUCGUCACGGCCAGGGCCUCGAUUCAGGUCGUGACAGUAGGUGAGGGGGUAGGUAUGAAAAUAGUCCUUCUUGGGAAUUUGGAGGAUCGGAGUAGUGCAUAUAAGUGCACUAGCGGAUCUUCACAAGUACCACUACUUCUUUCUCCAUAAUUAUCACUUUGAAUUUACACUAUCAUAAGAAAUUAUCGAAAUUGAGGAGAAAGAUGGCAUGCAUGAACAAAGGAAGGGAGAUUCUAAGUAGAAAAAUUAAGAGCAUAGCAGAAAGAUGGGAGAUUUUGAGUGGCAAGACCAACUGGGAAGGCUUACUUGACCCUUUGAAUUACGAUCUUCGACGAUACCUCAUUCACUAUGGCCAAAUGCCUCAAGCCAUUGGCGAUUCAUUCAACAGUGAACCAGCUUCAAAGUAUUAUGGAACAAGUCGAUACUCCAAAAAGAACCUCUUCAAAAGUUUGGGACUCAACAAAAACAACCCCUACAAAUAUGAAAUCACCAAAUAUUUCUAUACGGCUUCAGAUGUAACAGAGAAGGUGAAAGAAUCAAAUUGGAUUGGAUUUGUUGGUGUUGCCACCGAUGAGGGUAAAGUUGCAUUAGGCAGGAGAGAUAUUUUAAUUGCUUGGAGAGGUACCUUGACGCAAUCAGAAUGGAAUGAUGAUAAGCAAGUGCCGUUUGUCCAACCAACAGAAAUCUUUAGAGAAAAUACGAAUAACAUUCUAGUACACAAAGGUUUUUAUUCAAUUUAUACUUCUCUUAACAAUGCUUCAAAUCUCCAUCCAAC